GUGUUUUUUUUUUGUCAUCUUUUUUUUUAGAAUCCUGUGUCAUUUUGGUGGUGAGUUGGGCUGUGUGGAAUUGAUGGACCCCUAUUUUGGGUCAGUCGAACUGCUUCUUGGGCUCAUUUUGCUCUUCUGGGUUGUGUUUUUCUUUUUCCUUUUUUCUUUCCUUUAUUGGGUUUUUUUUGUUUUUGUGGGGUUUUGGCUGAGUGUAACUAUAUACAUACAAAUACUAUAUAAUAUGUGCCACAAUUACAUUAUAUGAUUAUUUUUGCAUAUUAUGAUAAAGUGCAAUUUUGGUGCAAAGUUGUGCGCAAGUUUUUGUUAUAAACUUUCUUUCUUCUUAAAGGAAAUACCAACGCCACUAAUUCAUUCUUUUUCAGAAAAAAAUCAUUACUUUGAUAUUGUUUUAGUCUUUACUUCAUCUUCAUUCUACUUUAAGGUUAAUACCAAUGCCACUAUUCAUUUGUUCUUAGAUUUUAUUUUUGCAAAAGUUCCACUUUUAUAUGCUUAUUCUUGCAUAUUUUUAAAAAAGCGCAUUUUUUGUUGUGUUAAUUUUUUCAGUGUUUGUUUUAGAUUCCUUUUCUCAUUUUUCUUGUUCGUAAAUUGUAAUACCAAUCCCACUAAUUCAUUAUUCCUAAGAAAUUUAAUUCUCUCUUUUGUGGGUAUUUUUGCUUCAUAUUUUAAUUUCUGUUUUCUUCUUCUAUGCGUUUUUAUUUUUCCUUUUUUCUUCCUUUAUUUGUUAAGUUUUGUUUUUCUUGGGUUUUUGGCUGAGUGUAAUUAUAUACAAACAAAUACUAUAUAAUAUGUGCCAAAAUUUCAUGAUUACAUGAUUGUUUUUGCAUAUUAUAAUACAGUGCAAUUUCGGUGCAUAGUUGUGCGCAAGUUUUUUUUAGAAUUUUCUUUCUUCUUAUAGGAAAUACAUUAUUUCAGUUGCUAUGUGUAAAUUAUUGUAGAAUGCGAAAAAUGCACUAUUAUAUGCUUAUUCUUUGCAUAUUUCAAAAAGUGUGAUUUCAGUAUAAAUCGUGUUCAAGUUUUGGAUUUUUUUUUCCUUUUCAUUUCUUUCUUCUUAAAGGGUUUCUUUCUUUCUUAGAAAACUUCAUUAUUUUGAUUUUUUUCAACUCAUCAACUCAUGCCUCAGCUCAUCUACACGCUCGUAGUACAUCAGCACAUGAAAACUUGCUUAUGAAACAGUGUGAGAUUGGUGCAUGGUACGAGUUGUUUUAGCGACGCAGCUUUACUUGACCGGCGAUCCACUGCGAGUCUAUGACCCAAGGAAACCUGGCUAGUACACAAAUCAACUGAAACAAGUUGUGGUCAGUUGGCUGGCCUAAAUAUUGUUUUCAAUCGACUGUCCACUAGCCAGUCCCGAGCCAAUCCAGUAGCAGAGUGUCGCUGCUGAUUACGGGGAACGAGGCUGGGGCGGCUGGCCUUGUGUCUUGUCUGCAACAAUCCCCUUAUUGCGGUCAAAGGAAUUGCAACUAGGACCAAGUUGCAAACCUGAAAUAUGAGUUAGUAGUUGUUUCUAAGCCAUCUGAUCAAACAAGAUCCGACGACUAUGAAGGCGGUGGAUGCGCCUAGAAAGAUCAGUCGGCUGACUCCAAACGUAUCCCUUGAUGUUGAGUGACACAAAUCAACACCACACUGUAGCCAUACUAGUACACCCACACUCCACUACAAUACUUGGGAGAAAGAUGGUCAGACAUGUUGCCAGGUGGGACAUGUUAGUAGAUGCUCUUCAUCUCCGGCCUCUGAGCAUCGAGCAUGCUCGCCUACCGGCAGGAUCUUGCUUCUAGAGGACACUCGACGACUGAUCUUGCUCGACGAGGCCGAGCGGGUCAUGGAUGUUCAUGCUAGUCGUGUCAUGUGGCUCAGAUUAGUGCGAUGCUGGGUCUGGGUGUGGUGUAAGCAUGAAGCUCACAAAUGGUGGAGACAUGUGGCGCCAUGGCUACAGUACGGAGUAGAGAUUUAUUCACUCCCCAUUAGCCGAACCUCGAUAUUCCUUCGCUUCUCACCUCCAUUGUGGAACUCCACGUGAUUCGACUCCUCUCUAGUUGCGCUUUGUUGCUACCCUUCGUUUCACCCAGAUCUAGAUGGCGGAGUGCAGGUGCGCAUGGCGAGGAUUGUGGGAGACGAUGCGUUGAGGCUGGCGAGGCUGCACGAGAUCGGUUCAUGGUCUGCGAGAGAGUUGGUAAGGAGGUAAUGGCGGUGUGCAAGGAUCUAAGCCCAAAGGAGGGGCCACUCGAAAUUGUGCCUUGGGCAAUGGAGGAGGUGGAAUCUACAGAUACAGUGCAUCGGCAUAAGCGGGAGGUGUUCCGCUCCGUAUCCGAGCUCCUACAGAUCUGGAAGAGGAUGCGCUGGGGAUGGUAACAACAUUGUCGAUGGUGGGGAUGAGGGAUAUGCCGAUUCUGAUAGAAGAUGGCGGACCCAGGGAGUGGAAGUAGAAAGUCAGGGAGGAGGUCCACAUGCCAAGGCGAUCAUCGUGUUUCCCUCAUGGGUUUGUUCGACUGCUAAGCCUCGCUCUCUCCAAAACAACGGUGUAGAGGUCUCCCCUGCCGGUAACCAUUUCUGGUUACUGGUCGGGCAUGAUUCUGGUAAGGAGGUUGAAAUCUUAUCGGAUUCUACAAGUAAGUCCGGCUCCCCACAGAAAUAUAUGCAUUCUCCUUCACGUUCUAGUGGAGUGAGGAUUGCUAGCUUUAAUUCAAGAUCGAGAAAACUAAAUGCGAACUAUAAAAACUAAUGAAUUCGAUCCUUUGUUGUUGGGUUUUGAAGUUGAAUCUCUUAUUGUCUGAGAAGCGAGGGAACACCGAGUCUCAUGCUUUCUCUGCUAAUAUGCAUUCGGAUGAUUGGGAACUUUUGUGGUAAAAAAUUGCAAGUGGUAUAGAAGUUAGAAAUCAUUUGUGAGAUGGAACUUUUUCAGCUAUCCCUGCCUUUUGGUCCAUGAAUAUGCUUGACUUUGGUGAAUUAGUUGUGAAAAAAUGCUAUGUCGGGCGGGAGCAAAAUUUGCUAGGCCAGGCUAGGCCACGGGGGCUCCCAUGGUGCCUUGUGAUGCUCAUGGGACAACUAGACGACCCUUGUUUGACCUUGGUGGGCUUUGGAAGGUUGGGUUGGAUGCUUAUUCUAGAAAUACACUUUCUAGCGCUUUGUGCUACUUAAAUCCUUCCCCAAUUGGGACUUGACUAUGACUUGUUCGAGUUAGAGUUAGUUCUCCCUAUUCCGCCGCCAGUGAUGGGGGGUGGAUAGCAUGUCUGGGAUUUAUGGAGGCUCUUGGGGGCUAUGAGUUUCGAUAGAGGAGGGAGAGAAAAUUACCAGUAUAAAAGGAGAGAGAAAGAUGAUGAGUGGUUUAGGACCAACAAUUUCAGAGAUGGGGCGGUUGGAAAAUAAUGUCAAAGAUAGCGAUCUGAGUAGAAAUCAAGGUUACCAUGAGUAUAGAGGACAAGUUCUCAAUGCUGGUGGUGUGCAAUCUAGUGGUCAAGGUUCACAAGUGCAGGAAAGUAAACUAGAGGUUGGUUGUUCUCAACAGAAUGAGAGGGCGAGCUUUGGUACUUCGGAACAAUUUCAGAGCAGACUGGCUCUGGAUCUGGCGCAACAACAAUAGUGGUUCGCUUGCUCAACUUGCUCAGAGUAGUCAUCAAUUAUCCCCAGCUAUCAAACCCAACUCUUCGCACUCUGGAGGUCAGAUUCUGGAGCUUGCAAGUGAUCUUGACAAUGGGAGAAGUUCUGUUGAUAGUGUGGCAGGUGGUAGAUUUGGGAAUCUGAACAAUUUUCUAGGAAUGUUGUUGUUGGUAGUUCUUCGAAAGAUGACUUUGAUUCUGGUAGGUUUAGUUGUACAUCUAGGCAUGAUGGUCGCAGAAUUAGUAAUUCUAACAAGCAACCUUGCAAUAAAUGCAAAUAUUCUAGACAUAGAACAAAGCAUUGUAAGUUAGGCCAUUAUGUGAUUUGUGGUAAGGACUCUCACAUCAUCGAUGAUUGUGCUUGGCUCAAACAAAUGAAGCAUGUCCUAAAGUAUGUUGCCUAUUCUGCUAGAGGGUUGGGAGUGCUGCUGGUUCAAAACUCCAAAGAUGUGUUGGCUGUUGAGCAUGCCAACCCUAUGGCCAUUGUUAGGGUUAAGUUUGGGAAUGUUAGUGAAACUCGAUUUCUUUAGGGGUUUAACAACAUGUUAAGUUGCUCGAGAUGUAAGAGUCAUGGGAAGAAUGGGUACUUGAUGAGAUUUCCAAAUAAGGCUAAACUAGUUGAGCUUUCGACGUUUGAUGAUUUUGAUCAGUUGGUCUUCUGAGAGCCAAGCUAUUGGAAAGUUACACACAAUGUGGGUGAAGUUUAGCAAAGUUCCUGAAUAUUUAGACACUUUUUGGAAUGUGUGAAACUGUUGCUUCUUGGGGUCAGUGCUAGAAAUUGAGAUGGGUAGUAUUGAUAUGGACCAGAUAAUGGUCAAAGUUGGUGUGAGGGAUAUGAACAGAAUCCCUCCGUAUACUCCAAAACGAGUUCUUCCAGGCUUCAUGCUUAUUUGCACAAGAAGUUGCUAAAAGCCCCAAAAGAACUGGCCCAAACUUAUUUUCACCCCACUUCCCUCACAUUGGAAAAAGUUGAGGGGGAGGGCAGCUUCCCGGAGAAGCUCACUUAAAAAGGAGUAUAGCGAAAUGGCACUUUCGUUUGCACAUAUUACACUGAAAAUGCCAAUGCACAGGCGUGAGUCACACUCAAACCCUUGUCGGAGCUAAAUCCGGCUAAUCCCUCAACAGUGUAUUAUACCUAGGGCAAUACAAAUAUUAAUCAAGCAUUUGAAAAAUGUAUUAAAAAUGCCAAACUUGUAUUUGAAAAAUAAAAAUGUUUAUCAAGCAUUUAAAAAAAUGUUUAUAGAAAAAAAUAUUCAGCAUGUAUUAAAAAUGUUAAUCUUAUAUUUAAAAAAUGUUAAUCAAGUAUUUGAAAAAUAUUUAAAAUAUUUAUAUAAAAAAUGUUGGCCAUGUAUUAAAAAAAUGUUAACCAAGCAUUUGAAAAAUGUUAAAUGUGUAUAAAGUAAUUGUUUGUCAUGUAUAAAAUAAUAUACAAUGUUUGUGGAAAAAGUUGAUCAUGUAAUUAGAAAAUGCUAAUCAAUCAUUUAUAAAUAUUUAACAAGUUUUUGAAAAUUUUAAUUAAGCAUAUGAUUUGUUUAAAUGUGUAUAGAAAUAAUGUCAAGCAUGUAUUAUAAAACUAUUAAUCUUGUAUUUGGAAAAUAUUAAUCAAGAAUUUAAAAAUGUUGAAACAUGUAUAAAAAAUGUUAACCAUAUAUUCAAAAAAUGUAAUUUUGUAUUUAAAAAAUGUUAAUCAAACAUUAUAAAAAUAUCUAAAAUGUGUAUAGAGACAUGAAGACCAUGUAUUGAAAAAUGUUAAGCCUCUAUUUAAAAAAUGCUAAGUGUGUAUUGAAAAAUGUUCUUGACGUAUACAAAAAAUAUAGAAUAAAAAAACCAAAACAAAAAAGAAAAAAGAAAAUAAAAGAAACCAAAGGGAAAAGGAAAUGAAAAAGCAAACCGAAGAAAUAAGUGCAGAAAGAAUGGAGAACAGUGAAAACCCCAUAAAGAUACAAAGCAAAAGAAAAGGAAACUAUUAAAACCCAAGAAAGAAGCAAAUAACAAAGAAAAAAAAGACAUAAAAUCCCAGAUGGAAACCAUGAAAGAAACAAAAGAGAAAUCAAAGUAAAACGAAAGGGAAAAACAAAAAACAAGUAUAGUGAUGAAAAAAGAAAACCAAAGAAACCAAAAAAGAAGUAAAAAAACGCGAAUCAACCUGAAGGGACGCAUCAACGAACGAGCACAUCACGGUCAAAAAACAAAAUCAAACAAGCGGACGAAGCUACAGCGAGCGAUCGAAAAAAAAUCAAAACGGGCCGGCCCGGUUUAAGACGUGGGGGAAAGCUUCAGCGAGACGGAAGGUAUACUUAGAGCAUCUCCAGCCGCCCCCAAAAUAGGCCCCCCGGCCACUUUUUCGGCGUCGGCGCCAAAAAAAACGUCCCAGUCGUGCCCCAGGACGACGAAAAGCGCCGGUUCGGCCCUUUUUUCCGUCCGGCGGUCUCAGGCCGAACCCGGCGCACUGGGGGGCGAUCGGGGGCUCUGGCGCAAGGGAAAAGCGCGACUGCCCACACCGUGAGGUGAGAAGUCAAGAUUUUCUUCCCCGACUCGCCUCCCACCCCCCGCGCCCUCGGCCGCCACUAGCUAUAUCCCGGCGCCGCCCGCCGCCCUUCACCGCUAGAUAGCCAUUCCCCGCCAGAAAAAUAGCAGAGGUUCGCCGCGGCAGCCCCUCCAACAGUAGCUAGGCGUUUCCGGCCGCCGUUUCUGGUCGUGGAGGGGCAGUUUAGCGGCGGGUGCACGCCCACCGGGCGCAAGGUGUUCGGCGAUUUGCCUGCCUCGGCGAUGGACUCGGAUGACGAGGAAGCGCUCGCCGUGCUGCUGGAGGAGGAAGCCGAGGCCGACGUCCAGGAAGAAGAGCAUAUCAUGGUGCUCGCCGCCCUCACCCAACUGCUGGCGAGCAAUGAAAAGCCGCGGCGAGGUGGCUCGGCGCCGGGGCGGGUGAAAGCAAAGAACCGGCAUCGUCUCGAAGGGUACUGCAUGCUCUACUCCGACUACUUCGCCGAUGCUCCACUUCACGGCGACAAAACAUUUCGGCGCCGUUAUCGGAUGAGCCGAAAGCUCUUCCUCAGGAUUGUGAAUUCCAUCCGGGAGUUCGACAACUACUUCAAGUGCAAGAUGGAUUGCACCAGCAAACUUGGAUUCACCUCGAUCCAGAAGUGCACGACAGCGAUGAGGAUGCUUGCAUACAGAGCUUCCGGUGAUUCACUCGAUGACUAUGGGCGCAUGGCCGAGUCCACCAUCAUAGAGUGUUUCUACAAGUUCUGUCGGGCAGUGGUGGCAGUGUUUGGACCGCAAUACUUGAGAACACCCAAUGCGGAAGACACUGCUCGGAUUCUAGCACAGAAUGCAGCAAGAGGAUUUCCUGGGAUGCUUGGAAGCAUCGACUGCAUGCAUUGGAAAUGGAAGAAUUGCCCAUUUGCUUGGCAGGGGAUGUACAAAGGCGCUAAAGGCGGUUGCAGUGUGGUACUUGAGGCGGUGGCCACACAGGACCUCUGGAUUUGGCACUCCUUCUUUGGUAUCCCAGGAACUCACAAUGACAUCAACGUGCUGCAGUGCUCUCCCGUCUUUGCCAAGCUUGUUGAAGGUCAUUCUCCUUCGGUGAACUUCGAGAUCAAUGGGUGGCACUACAACAAGGGGUACUGCCUAGCUGAUGGCAUCUAUCCGAGAUGGUCUACAUUUGUGAAGACUAUCUCAAACGUUGUGCCAGGAGGCAAGAAGUCCCACUUUGCCAAGGUGCAGGAGGCUUGCCGGAAGGAUGUCGAGCGAGCAUUUGGUGUGCUCCAAUCACGAUUUGCUGUUGUCCGGUACCCUGCUCAGACCUGGUCGAAAAAUCAAAUGUGGGAGAUCAUGACUUGUUGUGUCGUCUUGCACAACAUGAUCAUCGAGAGCGAGCAAGAAGACCCAGUGUUUGGCACUGAACCAUACUACAGGCAGGGUCCUCUAGCCGAGGUUGAUCACCAGCUACCGGCAACCUGGACUGCCUACCUCAGUAUGCGUCAGGAGAUCCGAGACCCACAGAUGCGUCAUCAGCUGCAGCAUGAUCUGGUGGAGCACCUAUGGAGGCUCAAGGGCGACGCCGGACGCAACGUGUGAUGAAAUAUGAGUUUUUAUUUGUUGAACUAUAUAAUUUGUAUUGAACUAUUUGUUGUUGUACUAUUUUGUUGAAGUAUUUGAUUUUUCUGUGAUGUGAUAAAAAAAAUUAUGUUGAUAAUUGAAUGCCGAGCCACGGCGAACCACACCGAAUAUGGGCCUAUUCUCGCCCAUAUGGACCCUUUAUUCGCCGAAAGGGGCUGAAAAGUGGGCCAAUAUCAGCGCCUGGGGAUGACGACUGAGCGCAAAACCGCCCCCAGCAUUCAUUGUAUCGCCGGCUCGUCCCAGGAGGCGAUUUUUAUGGGGGGCCAACGGCUGGAGAUGCUCUUACUCGCUGUAAGCGAGAUAUAGGCUUCCCGCUGAACUGCAGGCGUGACACCCCCCUCCUCCUCCGCCACGGCCACCGCGCCCGCCAACUCCGGCCUCCACCGCCCCUCUCCGGCCGUGAUUGACCUCCCGCUCCACACCCGGUGCAUCUCCGCCAGCAUCGCCCACCCCCGCGCCCCGGCUCCACCGGCGGCCACCCCCGCUGUUCUCCCGAGGUUGACAAAAGGUUGCCCUUUUCUCCUUCCUUUUGUUAAUUAUGUGCGGAUCUCAGGUGUAGGGGUUACGAUAUCCUGGGAAAUAUGCAUUGCGGCUGGGAACUGAUGUACUACAGCUACAGUUCUCUCAUGAAUGUGUUAUUUUUUCUGUCGUUGUGUUUGGCCUGUGGACAAUGCCUCGGGCUCUGCUCAGUUAUCUUGUUUCUGAAACGAACUCCGAUGUACUGUUUCAUUGGUAUUUCAAAGUCCAAGCCUUUGUUGUUGGAAGGCGCGGAGAGAUAGUUAGUUCCCACUUGCCUAGUCAAGCAUGACAUGAACACUUGCUGAAAUAAGCCAAAUUGCAAACACAAAAGCUCAAGUUAAAGAUAUACUAGAAGAGUUAGGACAGACGACUGAAUCUUCAGCAGGAGUCCGAACUCCCAAGAAAUUUUUUGUUUAAGCAUAUUUGUUAAAGACUGGAACACGUACAUGUUUGUAUCUCCUUAUGAAUAGCUGCUUUGUUUAGACGCAUCCAUGACCCUGGCAAGGAAAUACAUCUCAUCCAUAUAUUGAGUAACUAUGCAAAAGGACAACUUUCAGGUUCUGCAGGAGUGUGUACUAAAUACUACUAUUAUCAAUCAGCAACGCCAUUUGUUGAGCAAAGUGGUAGAAUUAGAAAGAAUCCAUAUGUUUAAAUAUUCUUCCACGGCUCAACACCACGAUUUUUUUUUGGCAGGUGCCAUUGGCAUGACAAGCUGACCAAAAAAGUGUAGAAAGUCUCUACACAGGACCUGGUUUCUCUUAACUGUGCUAAUAAGGGAACUGUUAUUGACAGCUGAUGGUUUAACACUAGCACAUUUUACAUAACCUGGUGCUUUCGUCAUUCAUAAUGCAAGAUUGCGAAACCAAAAGCUCUAGCUGUAGGUUGUAAUUUCUGUUUUAAUUGUGAGGAUUAUUUUUCUGCUCUUGUGACAUGUAUUUGUCUCCAAGUUGGUCCUGAAAGUAGAUAUGAAAUUAAUAUUUUCUAGUUUAUUAAGUUUUUUUUAUCGGAGAACGUGUUUAUUGAGAAUGGUCGUAGGAGCACAUUGUUUACAAAUUUUACUGGACAACAGUAGAUGGUCUAUCUGUAUAAUUUUGUUUGGCAAUCAUGAUGAAAUUUGUUUAUGAUGAUGCUCAUACCAAUGUAUGAGAAUUAACAAAGCAGGUGAUGUUAGUGAGGGUGCUCAUAUUCUGGCCAGCCAUGUUCAACGAUGCUUUCGCUCAUGUGAAUGCAUGUAAAUUGAUUUAUACUAAAUAAUAAAUACUUGUAUUUGUCACAUGGCUUUACUUCUAGCUGUAUGUUUUCAGAUUGACCAAGGCUUUUUAAUUAUUUUUGUUUGUAUGCAGAAAUAGUCAACUAUUUGGAAAAUAUAAUUGCUUAACCUAUCUUAGGCCCGCAGGAAGGGAACAAAUUCAUCUGUAGGGCUCCAUCAUGAAUGAGUAAGUUAGUAUUAUGGUAUUCAUCAGCGUGAAUUUUCUUUUUCUAACUUGCAAGUUCUCUGCUAUUGAUUCCAUUAUCAUUUCUUUCCUAAAGAAGUAGAUUAGACGAAAUAGAAGAAACUGUGUCUAUGUAUCCAGUAGAAUGUUAAUUUUAAAUCCUAAUGUUUCAGCAUCCUACAUACUUUCUUACGAAUAAAUGGACAUUCUUUAAUAGCCAUGUUUACAUUUUAGUUAUUAGGAGGACAUUGCAAGUCAUUGUCUUGUUGAUUUAAUUCUUUUAUGCAAUAUAUCUCAGCUUACCAAAUAAUGGAACACCGAACACCUAAUUGAUGUGUAUCUGAAUUUGUCUUUAUUUAGCAGCAACAUGAUCAAACGAGCGGAACGCCCAGGCUUUUGCUUGAUAGGAAGUAAAGUGGUUGUGCUAGUGAAUCGCUACAUCACAUAUUUUUGCCCAGAAACAAUUAUCAAUAUGUACAAGGUGAGUUAAUUCGACAAUUCUGUCUUUACUUUCGGAAAUGCGCACAUCUUCUAUUCCGUAUUCUAAUGAUGUUUUAGUUUUCUGUGACUCCCGAGACAAAAUCAAAAGCUAUUAAAGGAGCAUUAGUAGAAGAACUCGCGAAAACGAGUCUUGGAAAUAAAGUGAUUGCUUUUGAUGGCAUGCAUAUCUACACAAUCACUCUUUUCCCAUCUGAGUAUGAAAAAGAGUAUGUCAUUGAACUGAAUGAAGGUGCUAGUGAGGAUGCGUCGAGGUCCGCACAUUAACUUUUGACAUAAUUUCUAUGUCGUAUUUCCCUUUUUUUGUUCAGUUGCUAACUAUAUCUUCCAUGAUUUAAUUUACAGGAGUGUUAGUUAUAGUGUCACAAUUCAUUUGGCUAAGUCACUGAAAAUGCAAGAGUUGAAGGACUAUUACAAUGGAGAACAAAGUUAUGUUUCUCAGGAUAUUUUACAUGCAAUUAAUGUUGUCGUGAGAGCAUUAUCUUCAAGGUAAGAAUUCACCAUCUUAAGUUGCGGUAUUAUGUUUCUACUCAACUUUGAACACCUAAAGUAGAGAGUGCAAGAUCAAAUUCCAUCAGGUGUCUUGACAGAAGAAAUUUAUGUGAAACGGGUAGGAUUCCACCGAAGCUACAAACAUGCUAAAUAUGGAAGAAACCGUAGAUCAAAGAGAACUCAAAAUUCAAAAUGAUAAAUAAAAAGUGGUGCAUUGUUCUUUGUAAUGAUCAAGUCAAUGCAUCAAGUAUGGGGUAUGGCUAUGACUAUGAUAGAGUUUUUUUUUUGCUUUCAUUUGUUUGUGACUUAUUCGUACUGCAGCUGUCUCAAUGCUCCAAGGGCAAUGUUUUCAACCAAGUUUGGUCCGAUAAUAGACACUAAAGAGGGGCUCGAGCUUUGGCAGGGGUGCUACAAGGGAGUUUGCUUGUCACAUUAUGGUCUUGAUUUGACCAUAGGUACUCUAUGAAGACUUAUGCUAUGUUCUAAAUUAGUCAAACUCUUUCCUACAAUGUGACAAAUUUGGUGGAAGUUUUUAGAUUUAUUCACUUUUUUCUUGAUGCUAAACAUAGAUAUACUUUGUUGCACAUGGGCCACUUGGAUCAUCCACGCACACAACCCAACUCCCCCACCCCUCAAGAUAGGUGAUAGAUAUCUCUUAUUUUGAUCUUGUAACAAGCUCAAUAAGAAAUCGUUGAUCUUACUGUACUCAUCUUUGUAACAGGUUCAAAUAUCCCAUCCUUUUCAAUCCCAUACAUUUGCCUAUAACCCCUUACCAUGAACCUCACCGUGUAACACUGCACCUGCCCUUCUAGUAUAUUACCCAUUUCCCGUUGUACCGGGGGAAACAUUGCCUCAUGCCACUUUGGAUCUUGCUCUGUCGUCUUCCAUUCUAUUAGGAUCAUCACAGAUUGCAAUGAUGCAGUGGCGAAUUUUGUACAAUCAUCUAGAUUCAUUCACUUCUCCUUCUUGAUGCUUUAUGCUUGGGCCACUCACACACACUACGUACCCAACAAAUUUUCCAGUGCUUUGUUUGAAUGAUUUACUUCAUAAUAGCCUAUUCCUAAACGAACUAGGAUUCAGUUUUCUAUUUGCAAUCUUGUGUAUGAUCUUAAUUUUCAAUGAUUUAUCUAAAAAAUGAUUUGGAUGUGUUUUUGCUAUUCAGAUACAACUGUAGCACCUUUUUAUAAAUCAAUUUCCAUGGUCAAGUUUGUGGGUGAAUUUUUGGGCCGAACUGACUUCAACCGGGCUUUCUCUCAUAAAGAGUAUGCAAAGGUAUUAAUCUUGAGUAAAGAAAUAAAUAUUUAUGUUGGUAUUCAAAUAUUAGAUAAAUAGUGCUUUUGAAUUUUAAUUUGUAAUGACUUGGUCACUAUAUGCAGAUAGAAAGAGCUUUGAAAGGGGUCCAAGUUGAAACUAUCCAUCAUACUGAUAGAACUAUGAAGUACAGAAUUAAAGGGCUUAGUGUUGUCCCUUUGAAAGAGCUCAUGUACAUUUUUCUUAUCUCACACAUCAAAUAAAUCAACUAAAACAAGCUCGUACUUCCUAUUUAUAAGUUCUCCAUACAUGACAUGAUCUUGUGCCUUUUUCUAUUUUUAGGUUUUCUGUAGAUGAUGAUGGUAUCAUGACCACCGUUGUUGAUUAUUAUCAGAGUCGGUAUAAUUGCAAAUUGGAAUAUAUUCACUGGCCAUGUCUGCAGUGUGGUGUCUCUGGCCGUCAGAUUUAUUUACCCAUGGAGGUAGAAAUUUACUGAACUCAACAUUUGCCAUGACGAUUUAGCUUCUGAUGCAUAAUUUACUUCUAGGUUUGCAAGCUUGUGCAAGGGCAGAGAUACCGGCAAAAGCUUAGUACCACACAAGCAGCGAAGUUGCUGAAAAUAACCUGCAAACGUCCUCAGAAUAGGCUGAACGGAAUAUUAAAGGUAUGUUUUAUAAUCACAGUUGUUUGCUAAGAGUUAAUCUUGCUCUCUAGAUAAUGUAAUGGUCAGUUGCUUUCCAUCAUGGUCCAUGCAUUAGGCAGUGGCAUUGACACAUAAGAGGUGUCGCGUGUAUGUUUGCGAACCAAGUUGCGAUGCAUGUACUGGGUGUUACCAGGAUGAGCUUAUAGAUUGAGCAAUUGAUGCUUCAUUAGCACAAGUACAUAUAUUUCCCAAAGUGCUUUAUCAAGUCGCUGAUUGCACUUGCUAUUAUCACUGAUGCCUACGACAUUGCAUGCUUUGCAAGGUGAGAAGCAACUUUUGCGAUGCUGAUUUGCUUGAUGGGCAUCUUGGCAACACAUAUGAUCAAUGUGAUUUAUAGUGAAAGCUAGCAGCAAAUGGCUAUUUCGCCCUGUAGUAUAAAAUGAGGUUUAACAUAGUAUUAAAUAUGCCUGCUAUUGAAGCAACACUGAAAGGGAACAUGAUGGAAAUUGCUGCACUUGACUUGUCCAUCAAUGUUUGCCUUUCUUGUAGAACAGAAAGGGCAACCCCAUUUUCAGGAGACUAGUUAUUGUGGUUAGCCUCAUAACAGAUUAUUAGCACCAAGACAACUUGGGUUUGAGAAUGAAUUGGAAAUUAAUCAGGCCCGUAGUUUGUGAUGCUAUUUGAGCUGAAACAUCUAUGCUAACAUUUUGCUUCACGUUUUUUUUUUCCGUCUAUGGUCCACUUUGAAUUAAAAUUAGUGUACCUUUCCUGUAUUAGGUACGGUAGACCUGCUAUUUCAGAACACGCUACACUUCAAUUAGACUUGUAUCUUCCCUUAUUCGAUGGUCCAAUUCCUACUACAUAGGCAAUCCGUACAGAAACAAAUAUUCAGCAAAAACUAUCCAGCGUGCAUGAAAUUAAAAGCGUAAGGACUAAGGAGACUCUUCAUCGUGUUCCACUGAAAUAUGUGAGUGGCCACCCAUGCAUUCAACCAGAUUAAAAACGAUCAAACAGUCAGACUGCAGUACAAAAUAUUUCCACCCCAACUGAAUCACUACUAUUCCUCACCGCUAGACCCUACCUUAGUCAACGGCAAGCAAUCUGUUAUUUGUAUCUCUGGUGACAUAGUGAACAAGCUUAUCAUGUACUCCUCCGUGACUCCGUCUCAAAAUAAGUUAGUACAAAGUUAUACUAAAGUUGAGACACUUAUUUUGGGACGGAGGUUUGCAUGAGUCUGGUAACUUGUUGUAUUCAAGUUGAAGUCGUUUAAAGUUUAAAGGUGAUGGACAGAUAUGGAUUAGUUGGAUCUCAACUCUGAACAUGCAGAUAUGCACUGGUAUUGAAAAGAGCUAGAUAAGCGUCCAAAUUAGAUUGAACAACUUUGAGUGGUAAUAGAAGUCCAUAGAAAUAAGGAGAAAACUGCCCCAAGCUAUGCGCCGGAGAAUUUUUCUUGCUAGUUCUUGUGUAUCGUUGCUCUGAUUUUUGGGCCAAAAAGCCACCAAUGUUAAUAUGCUUGUGUAAAUUUGUAUUUGCUGGCAUCUGUGCUAUUUUAGCUUGUAUAUGCAUCUUAUUUUGAGCUGCUCUUAUUGUUACUGAGAUUUUCUGCACAGGCUGCGAGAGGUAAUUUUGAUGUUGAAGAGCUUACAGAGGGGGAGUUCUCGGCCAGUGGAUUUCCCAAAGUGCUUUAUGGAUCUGUUCUAUCCGCACCUUUGGUAUACACACACUAGACUUGUAUGUUCUAACUACUAUUUUUAUUGGUUCUAAGAUUUGCUUCCUUUUCAUCAUUUCAGUUGAAAUAUGGAAAUGAAGAAAUUUUUAUGCCCAUUGGUGGACAAUGGAAUAUGGCUAACAAGGUGAUGUCAAAUUUACGAAUAUACAUGUUUUUAGUUUCCUGCACCUUUUAUUAAUGUUUUGUAGACACACUUUGUCAGCAGUGUCUUGGAGUGGCAUAUAUACGAAUUUUCUCUUUAAAAACAGGAUAGUGUUGGUCCAAUUGACAAUAUUUGGUGACUGUAUGAUUCUUUGUUAUUUCAGAAAAUAAUUGAUGGAGGAAAGGUGGAACGCUGGGCUUGCUUGAACUUUUCUAAAGUACCAGCUUUGGAGGUGGAUAAUUUUUGUAGUGAAUUGAUUAACAUGUGUAACAAAAUUGGGAUGGUAUGUUCUUCUUUCAUUGACUUCUCAUGCUAGUCUACCUCCACAAAGUUUGGUACUAUGAUAACACAACAGCUUAGACAACUCAUGCAGUAAGAAUAUGGGGUAGCAAUGCAUGAACAGUUAGCUAGUAAUUUAAAAAUUGAAGUGCGCCAAUUUAUUGUCACCAACAAAAAGAAAUGGAGACCGGAAAAGGGCAAUGGCUGAAGGGUCUUGACAGAUUGGGAGUGGCUAGCUUCACGUGAAAUAUUUUCCAGCGGAGAGUUCUUUAUGUACUUUAGUGUUUAAUGCUCAAUUAGUCCCUUGAUUAUAAACACUAAACAUUAGUGCUUAGAAAAAUGUGAGGCUUCUACAUUUUGAGGGGCUGUGUAUCUGCACAGCUUGCACAUGCUUUACGACCUGGUUAUCACAGAUAUUUGACUAAGAUAGAUCUUUUUUUUUUCGCUCUUAAGGUAUUUGAAGGAAAGCCAUUGGCAGUCCAGCAAUCAAGCAAUUUUAUGGACAUACAAUCCGCCUUGGAGUCUCUUUUGAGUUAUAUUUCGGAAUUAUUCACUGACGAGGGAAAUUGCCAGCGGCUCCAAUUGCUUAUUGUAGUUUUGCCAGAAGAAAAAGGGCACUACGGUAUGUAUAUCACUAUUGGUAAAAAGCUCCGUGAUUUAAUUGUUUUUCUUGUGAUGUAUGCUGCAUAUUUUUGUAGGUACUAUCAAGCGCAUUUGCGAGACACAACUUGGAAUAGUAUCUCAAUGUUGCUUACCGAAGUAUGUGAAAGCAAAAGUAAAUGUGGAAUACCUUGAAAAUGUUGCACUUAAAAUUAAUGUGAAGGUAUAUUUGUAUCCACACCCCUUGUUUCACAUGUCUGACUGUAUGUUGUAUUAUUGGUAGUUACAAAAUAAAUUCAUUGCAACAGGCCGGAGGACGGAAUGCAAUUCUCCAGGAAGGAUUGCCAUUCUUGUCAGAUAUUCCAACAAUUAUUUUUGGUGCUGAUGUCAGCCAUCCCUCACCAGGAGUGUACUCAUCUUCUGUUUCGGCGGUGAGUAUCUUAAUGUUGGUUACAAUGUUCUUUUUGUUUUACUGUCACUGCAUUUUGAAUACAAUGUUAAGCGGCAUAUUUUGGUUCAAUACAUAAAGCACAACUAUCACUAUUUAAUAAAUGCUUGUAGGUUGUUGCAUCGAUGGACUGGCCUGAAGUUGCGACGUAUAGAUGUGUAAUCUCCGCCCAACAGCCAAAGCAGGAGAUUAUAACAAAACUAUUUCAGGUUACUCAAGAUUCAAAUGGGUGUGUAAAAACUGAUAGCAUGAUAAAGUAAGGAUGCUUUGAUCUGCACUUUUGAUUUGUCCAUUCUGAAUCCUCACAUGAUUGAUGUGGAAACUGAGGUGUGCCUUUUGUUUAUUGUAGGGAGCUUUUGUUGAAUUUCUACCAGAAGAAUCGUCGUAAGCCUGAACGCAUCAUUUUCUACAGGUGUGUUUACCAAAAUAUGAUAUUUCUGUUGUCUUGUGCUCUUGGACAAGCCUCUUGACUGGUCGUUGUUGUGCUUAGAGAUGGAGUAAGCGAAAGCCAGUUCAGCCCAGUUCUGCUUCAUGAAGUAGAUGCUAUCCGAAAGGUGACACCUUCAGCCUAAUUUGUCUAGUUUUGAAUUUAUUACCUUGUUGUAUUCACAAUAAUAUGUUUCCCUUUUCAAGGCAUGUAUCUCUUUGGAUGAGCAUUAUGUUCCACCAAUUACGUUUCUGGUUGUCCAAAAAAGACACCAGACAAGGCUCUUUCCUUUGCCGACCACCAGGAAACCUGAACCCAAAGGAAUCAGGAAACCUGAGCCCAAAGGAAUCCUCCCUGGUCAGUGUACUGUUCAGUUUUUAUACUUUAGUUUCCCAAUCUCCACUCAGUGUUGCAUCUGGCUUAUCUUAUUUAAAUUUCUUCAGGAUGCUGCUUGAUUGCUUGUAAUUUGAUAAAAGUUCUGGUACUCUCUGGAUCAGUGAUAUUUUCGGUUGGUACAAAAGAAUGUAAACUGUGCAAGGGCAUAGACUUGAGAAUCAAAAAUAUAGAUAUAGAUGUGAAAAUAAAAUCGGCCAACGUAACGGGUGAUCUUUGUCAUGCUGGGUCAGUUCAGCAAUUUUUCCAGCCAAACUAAAUUUGGUUGGGGGUUCCAGCGUUCUGCAGUGCAUAGCCAAACUGAUCAUAGACAAGGUUACAGGUGAAUCAAUUUAGCAGAACUGAAACUGAGCUGCAUUUAUCUUCUUUUGUAUUUAUCUUCUACUGGUGACCAAAUCAUGUUCAACCUUCUUCAAACCAUUAAUUUCUAAGUUGUUUGCCUUUUUAACCAUUUGUGUUCAUUUAUUUUUCUUCGGCGAAAACAUAAUGCCUUUGAGAUUGCAGGAACCGUUGUCGACUAUGGAAUCUGCGACCCUUGUGGGUUUGAUUUUUACCUAACUAGCCAUGCCUCUGAGGUAUAUAGUAUCUGGUGCCGUUGUAUCUUCAUGGUUUUGUUUUAUGGAUGGAUAUUUAUAAACUAUCAAGUGAAUAUAUAAUGCCAUUUUCAGGGGAGUUGCAGACCCACGCACUACCAUGUGCUGUUCGAUGAGAAUCGCUUUACCGCUGGUGCCCUCCAGUCCAUCACAUAUAAUCUGUGCUACACGUAUGCUCACAUCUCUAUUCAUUGAGUUUGUUUAGGUACUCAACUUGAUUCUAACCUUUGUUUAACUCUGACCUUUUCCAAAUGCAGUUAUGCUCGCUGUACACGUUCUGUAUCUAUAGGUAAGUUCAUUCCUUGCAAUGAUUUCUUCUCUAUUUAUGUGUGAUUAGUAGCUGUAGGCCACAUGAGAUGGUACCCUACAAGAAAGGCCAAAUGGAAAUCCCUUAUAAUGGAUUGGGCAUGUAAUUUAAUGGAAAACUGGACUAAAAAUAAUGCGCUGAAAUAAUUGUAUUAUCUUUCAUAGUGCUGCUCAGGUCAUUGAAACUCAAAUGAGGGUUGACAUAACCUUUUUGAUAACCCAACAAUUGGAUGCAUGCUUAUCUAUAUUGUCAGGUUAUGCACAUGGGUUUCAUGGCAUACUAUUGGCUUUAUGAGCUUCUGUGAUAAUGUUUUUCAUGGCACCGAUUUGUGGGUUAACAAUCUUGUGAGAAUAUUUGUGGUAUGUUUCCUGUUUCCAGUUUUUAGUGUUACGACCUACUUAUAAAAUUAUUCCUUAGGUGUUACCAGUCAAGAACUACUACUGCAGGGCUAACCAGACACCCUCUGCUAAUAUGCCAAUGAUACCUGUGACGGUGGUAGGAUUUUUUCUUAGAAAAGCAAAGGAAAAUUAAGUAACAACAAAUGAUUCGUGUGACUUGAAUAUUGAACGAAAACUUAAUUGGAUACAUGAGUGUUCUAAUUGAAGCUGAUGGACUACCUCGCCAUGAUUAUGGUUGUAUGCCUUUGUUACAUGAGAAUGAUAUGGGGCGAAAGCUUGCCCCAACCCUCACAAACAAGUGUGUUAGGUUUAAAUUUAGGACUGGAUGGCAUAUACGUCUGCCUAGUGUCUCAUAAAACCUACUACUAGUGUAACACAUGAUUUUGAAACUUGAAAGCAGCUUCAUUCAUACUUAUAAUUAUCACUGUGCAGUUCCGCCGGUGUACUACGCGCAUCUUGCUGCGUCACGGGGGCGGAGCUACCAGGGCAAUUUUGGUGAUGGUUCAAGCAUAAGGGAAACAACACCAGGUGACGAACUACCUGAGUUCCUACAAGUCCCAAAGAUCCACGAGAAUGUGUCGGAGGUCAUGUUUUACUGCUGAAUUCGAGGUGGUGGGCUGAACUAUUAUCGUCUUUGCUCUGAAACUUGGCCCCCUGGGUCACCUUUUGUGUAUUCAGAGUUGUGACUUGUGAGGCUGAUAGCACUGGCUCAAAAUUUCGCUAACGUUGGCUUAAAAGUUUUGGAUACGAAGAUUCAGAUGUCACCGGUUGUGCAUGUACCUGUCAGAUAUCAUGGAUAUGUAUGGUGCUUAGCAUUCAGUUUUUGUGGUUGUCUCUAGAGUGCUUUGUUCUUCUAAAUGGAACUAAUUCUAUUGAGUAAAAUUUCUUUCCUUUUUCAUCUACAUCCAUAUUGGAGGAUUACACGUGUGAACUUCCUUGACCGGCGGCAACUAACAUGUACUCUUACAAUUGUAAAAUCUUCAUUCAUUAUGUACAAAAGCUUUGGUUGUUCUCAUGUUUGAUGACUGAUCUCUUCAAGUGUGAGUUUAGCUGGUGGAAUCUGUCAUAGGACUUGAUGGCAACAACUACAUUAAACAACCAAGGUGAAAGGACUUCUGUUGUUGCACUUGUGUGAAAAGGAUUGAAAGAGACAAUUUUGAAUUUUGAAUUUUCACAACACAAAAAUCAAAUGUUCUUUAAUAUUCAUCUUUAGAUAUUUCAAUCAUGAUAAAAAAAUCCAGCACUUACAAUUCAAUUACAUUUUUUUUCAUCUUUUUUGAAUUUGUCAGUUUUGAAGAAUUUUAGAUUAACAACAUUCAAAAUUGAGGACUUAAACUGUAAUGUUUGAAAGUAGGAAUUUUGAGUUCCAUGAUGUUAGCCUUUUAGUUAACGAAUUUAAAUUUAGCUUUUCCCUUGUGAAAUUUGGAGAAAUAUAUUAAUGUUAAUUUUCAGCAUGUAAAACCUCAUUGUCCCAAGUACAUAGAUCAAAAUUAUGUAAUAGAAAAACUGUUGGCAUAUGCUAAAAUUUCAAAAUAAAUAAAUAAAGAUAACAGACACGCACUAUUUCAUUGGCCAUGCUUUCUUUCCACACAAUGGAUCGCCAGUAAUGAGAAAAAUUGGAUUGAAUUUUCAACCAACCAUAUACUAGAAAAUAAGAGCGGUACAUAUAGUUCCAUAAGAUAUGAAUGAUUCUCUGGUUCAACAACUGUAACACCGUGUCAUUCCCUUUUCAAACACACAUGGCAAAUUGACAGGAUGAAACCUUGAAAUUUAUCGCCAUUCAUCUCAUCUUGUAGUGCAGUAUUGACCAAGUGCGCAAAAUACUGGCUUUUACACAUCUCUAAGAACAGGCAAAAAAAAGGGCUUGUAAUUUCAGUCCAGGAAUGACAGGGUUCAGUCAAAAAACUCAACGUGAAGGUGUCGAAAGCCACCUAUGUGCUAUGGGUAACAGCGAACAGGUAGUCCAUACUCCGUAGAGUAAUAUACCACAUUAGUGUAAUACUAGUUUCAGAAGAAAUUCUCUCUCAAGAAAAGUUUCAGAAGGAACUGCAUGAUGAAACUGUCUAAUUGCCUCAGAUUGUCUUUUACUUUUGAAAAUAAGGUCGAGAUCUCUGCCUUAUAUUCUUUUUUUUUGAGAGUACGCCAAUGGCGUACUCUUAGCUUUAUAGAAGGCAGAAAAGUAUUUACAAGAGGUUACAAGGGGUCGGCACCACACAUCGAUGCACUACACCCACUCCACUCCCACUCUCUAAGCCGAUUACUCACAAAACGUAGACACUCCCGAGCCUCCUGCCAAUUCCCACAACUUCAACUCUUGAAAGAUGAUUUCCAUAGUACCCCGAGCAUCCCUCACAUCAUUCGUAUUUCUGAAUACUCGUGCAUUCCGCUGCUUCCAAAGUGUCCAACAGAUCAUCAUGACGAAGGAGUCAAAACCUUUCCUGUUAGCUUUGGUAAUCCGCUUCCUUCUCGUCUCCCACCACUCUUCCAGCCUGGACUGCACCGAGGGUAAGAGUGCCAGCUCCACCCCAACUUUAGCAAAGCAUAGAUACCACACGUGCCUCGCGAACACGCAUUGCAGCAGCAAGUGAUCCACCGUAUCUUCCUCUUGGUCGCAAAAAUAGCACGGUGAGGUUUCCUCCUGCAGGCCAUGUCUGAGUCUUCUAUCCGAAGUCCAGACUCGGUACUGAACUGCCAACCACAUAAAUAUCUUGCAAGAUAGCGGAGCCCAACUCUUCCAUAUGCCUCUAUACGACUGGAACCAGAUCCCUCCCUCACAGAACAUUUUGUAUGCCGAGGCUGCUGUGUAUUUUCUGUCCACACACCACUCCCAAACAGCCAUAUCCUCCUGAUCCGGGAUUGGAUGUACCUCAAUCAGCACUUCCCAUAGCCGGAUGAAUUGUGCCAAUUCAUCUGUGGACAUCUCACCUGUGAUAUCCAUAGUCCAAGCAUGGGAUAGCAAACCCUCCUGCACCACUCUUCUGUUCCUCACUUGGGUCUUGACUUUGAGCACGAUCAAGGGUGCCACCUCCGCAAUGCAUGCACCGUUGAUCCAUCUGUCCUUCCAGAACAGAAUCUGAGCUCCAUCUCCUAGCUUCCACUUGACUAAACUGUUGAACGCCUGCUGUACAUUUCGAUCUGGCGUCAAGUUGAGUCCCUGCCACGGCCGUGAGCUAUCUGUUCUUCUUAACCAUUCCCACCGCAAGAGAAGCGCAAGGCCGUGUUUGCCCAAGUCCAUCACUCCUAGUCCUCCAAGGUAUUUUGGUUUGCAUACUCUCUGCCAAGAUACCACACACUUGCCUGCGCUGACUUCCUCCGAGCCCGCCCAGAAGAUGGCUCUGCAACCCUUGUCUACCUUGUCCAAUGCCCACUUAGGUGCUUCCGAAACAAUCAGGUGGUGUGUGGGUCUUGCACGCAUCACUUGGUUGACCAGUAUGAGCCUGCCCGGUCUAGUGAUCAUUCCCCUUUGCCAGCCCGGCAAAAUUUUGAUUGCAGCGUCCACCAUCGGUUGUCAUUCAGACCUCUUUAGUUGCUUGAUACUCAGCUGCAAACCCAAGUAUUUGCACGGAACCGGUCAAUCUUCCAGGGCAUUGCACUUCUUACUAGUUCUUCAUCUCCCUCCUCGGCCCUGAUCAGAAUGGCCGAGGAUUUUGCAAAGUUGAUUUUGAGUCCAGAAGCUUCACCAAAGAUCUGCAGGACCUCCUCCACCAAUCUAAUGUCUGUCCUUGAGGGUUUGAUAAACAUCACCACAUCGUCCGCAUAAAGAGAUAGACGUUGCAAUGGGCUGCAGCAGUUCAUCUUACUUAGGACUUGAGAGUCAUGAGCCUUCACCACAAUCGCUGUCAAAACAUCCAUCGCAAUAACGAACAACAUUGGGGAGAGGGAUUCCCCUUGCCGCAGCCCACACGCAUGCAUGAACUUCUCUCCCGCACACCCGUUGAUCACCACUCUCGAGCUCGCCGAAGAGAGCAAGAUCGCCAGCCAUGAGAGGCAAAAAGGCCUAGUGUUACAGAGACCGCAUGGACCAAACAGUCCAGCAAACUGGGGACAGAACAGAAACGAAGACAACGGCAACAAAUGAACGAAGGAAGAAAGAAGAAAGAAACCGAAGGAAUAAGGCAAACAUAGGCAACUGUGUGGCGCCCAAAUUUUCUGCCCGUAGAAGAAGUGCUUCAGAGUCAGCUUCUCUUCGGAACAGCAUGUCCAUGCAGAGAAAUGCUGACUGUUGAAAACCAUUUCAUUAGGGCUGUGCCACAGUUCAGCAGCACAGGCCGCGGAGACGAGCGGCCAUGCUUGGAGGUGUUGGCCCUGGACGAAUUGCAGUAGAGAUGUGGCUCGUGCAGCUGGCUGCUGAAGAUUCAAAUGCUGACAAAUUUUGUUGCAUCAAUCUGCACCUCAACGUAAUAUGCUCAAUGGAUUCAACACCUGGACAAAUAUUGCACCCUGCAUCUUCGCACCAACCCUUUCCUCAUCAUAUUAUGGGAUGCCAAGUGAAAGUAGCAGCUUCAGUAUAUACUCUUCUGAAAGUUAGCAUCUGAUAAAAGUACUUUGUAGUUACUGAACUACCAGCAUCGCAGCCUUCAAUCACAAGAAAUUUUUUCAGAAUCUGCAGCAAUUCGGAGAAGCUGUAGCCUGUAGCAGAUCGGGUAGGUCUCAGUUUAGGCUCCCAGCCGCUGGAAGUGACCUGUGAUUUAACCCGGCAGUACUGAUCUUGCGCAUACGUGAAGAGCACAGGGAAAAUCAGGUAUGGUACACUUAGCGCCUGUUCGGCAGCUCUCCGCGGAGCGGAGCGCGCGGAGCGGCGUUUUAUCAGCUCCGCAAAUUAAAACUGGAUUGCCACUCCGCUCCGGCGCGGAGCCGCGGAGCGGAGGGAAUCCGAACGCGCCCUUAGUCGCAUCUUGUACCAGCGGGAGUACUGACUUGAAGGUUGCCCAGAUGGCCGUGUCAUUUCUAUGCUUCAAAGGACUGAACAGACAGGUCCCACAGACAGACAAGAACCAAUUAUGCCACGGGAUAGUGUUGCCAUGGAGGAGCAUGUUGGCAAAUUGCAGAGGACAGCGGUGCUAUGAGCAAGCAGAUCUCGGAAUCCUAAUUCCCCAGAUUCUUUAGGUGUGAUGACGUGUAUUCCCAAGUGAUCACACUGUCGGCGGUGAGUUUUCUUCUUGUUCUACCAGAGAAAGGAGCGUCUUAAUUUGUUGACCUUGCUGAUGUUUUCUUCCGUAGUAACUCGGGAUCGCUGAAAGAGUGCAUUGAUCAUCAUGGCAUCAUCCAUCCAGCUAGUCUCUUAUCAAUCUUCUGUAUCACUGGUUGGAGAAGAUGCUGCGGAGUCUUGCUUAUAGAGUGGGAGCCCAGGAUAAGUGCAAGGCAGUGAGCUGAUGGGGCACUCUAAAAUACUUGCAAUUUCAGCAGCCUCCUCACUGUUGAUAUGAAUAAUAAGGCGCUCUUAUGACAAUUAAUACUGAGACCAGAAAAGUCCAAGAAGGCCUGCAGGAUUUGCUUAAACCUUCUAGCCUGAUCAACCGAACCGUGUGGCAGUAGGACUGUGUCAUCAGCUUACUGUGUAAACUGAGAGUGGGCCAUUGCCGCUAGCCCGUUACUGCUAUGGAACGGGUGCCUGAGGUAGUCAUCCCAGAAGGCCUUAGCACACAUCCUCUGAAGGACACUGCCGGCCAGAAUAAAAAAGGUAGGGCCACAGGGAGUCACGCUGUCUAACCCCUCCAGGAAGGAAAUGGGUUCACCUGCCAUACCGCUGACAAGGACCUGACACUGAACCCAUCUGAUCCAAUCCGUAAGGAAAUUCCGGUGCUGCAUAGCUGAAAGAGGCAAUCCCAAAGCACCGUGUCAAACGCCUUUUGAAAGUCCAGUUUUAGCAGUCAUUGGUUUCCUCUUUAUUUGCAGACUGCACUAAUUCAGAAGCCAAAACAAAGUUCUCAACAAUUGAGCACCCCUUAUAAACCAUGAUUGAAUCAUAUCAACGAGGACCCAAAUCAGAAGCUGGAGUCUGUUUGUCAUGACUUCUGUUUCAUCAGGCUGUGCACUAAAGAAAUCGGUCCAUAGUCUCCAGUCUCACGGAACAUUCAAUCUUUGGUGUGAAAACAAUGAAGGAUCUGUUGACGCCUCUUAGGUUGAACUUGUUUGCAUGGAACUCCCUAAAGAGGGGAUAUCAGAUCCUCUUUCAUUAACAUUAGCUUGUUUUUGAAGAAUUCAUAUGUAAAUCCAUCCGGACCUGAGCGCUUUUAACAAUCUCCUUCCAAGAGAAUGUAUCGGAUAGACCACCGAGACUGACACAGGUGACUGACAUUUACUGUUGGUAGUCGGUGCGGGGGAGAGCCCGACAGGUUCCCGAGACAGUGGCAAUUUGUAACUUUUGCUAAAUAUGAAAGCGCUUGAUGCAUUAUGUACCAGCAACCUCAUUUAUUUCUCCUCGCUUGGCAAUUUACAGCAACAUAGAAGAACGUUGAGUUCUCGUCACCAAGACUGCACCAGUUAACUUUUCCACGUCUCCUCCAUAUAGAAAAUUUCCAGGAGAGUAGUUGCAUAAUCUUUUCCAAGACAUGUCUCUGAAGAACUCAAGAUUUUUCAGUGGCCUAUGUCCUUCCAAGGCAUCAAGAAAUGCAACGAUUGUCUAAUUUAUCCUCUCAAGAGAAUAAAAUCCCCUGGACCACUUCUUCGCACUCAUCAUCUUUCAGGAAUACUCAUUCUUUCAGCUUACAGUAUCUAAUUGCCUGCACCAAGAAAAAUGUAGAUGCUCAUAAGUAUCUGAAAGAAUUUGACCACAGUUCAAGUUCAAAGAAAAGGCAUCAAAAUGAUCUUGAGUAGCUGGAGACCACAAGAGGAAGAUUUUUUCAUGAGCACAAACCUAGUUCUAUCAGUCCACAUACCAGCUAACUGCAGAGAUAUUUGGCCGUUCAUCUAACUCAGCCACAAAAAUGAAUGUGUGCCCUGAGCAGGGAAUGCACGGACAGAAGAAAUAUGCAUUUAACAAGUUGAACACAAUGUGAUUAUAUGAUUCUCAGUGGGGCUGUCUUAUGCUAGUGCAUUCUGCACCGGAAUCCAAUCCAGAAUUCAGUCUGGUUCCAUAAAUCUGGGGCUCUGGGGAAUCCAAGUACAGGGACACCGCGACUUGUAAUGGAUUCAAAUGAGCAUCGAGAUGGUAAACAAACAUUGCUAUGCCAAAAACCAUCAGGAUCAAGAGCACAAAGGAUAAAAAAAUCGAGAUUUGCUGCUACAUUAAGACUUACUAUUGCAAACUCAUACUGUAAGUACUGCAUUUUUGCUGCUGGCUGCAAAUGGUUGCUUAUAGAAAGUUCAACAGAUAUCACACAUAAUGAAUUUGCUAAAAUGCCAUGGGCUAGCUUAUGCUGCGGUACCUAAUUCAGUAAUGGACCCAUACAUAAGUAAAUGGUCAGACUACAUGCAUAUUAGCUAUUUACUGAAGCAGGGACUCAAAUAAGUGGAAAUAAAGUCUCGCUUAAUUGAAGAGCAGCAAAUGAUUUGUCUACAAGAGAAAAAAGAAACUUCAGCUAUAUGAAAGAAGCUAGAUAGGCCUCAUCUAUAACAUCCAAUUUUCCUUUUCAAUAUGAAGAUUAGUCUUACUUCUGUGCCUGUGUACAUGAUGCUCUGUAAACAAUAAAAUUGAUAUUCAAUCGUAGAAAACCCAUUUUCUCUUGAAAAGAGUAUGCCAAUAAACUGAUCACAUGCACAUAAUCAGUCUGAUCAACUGAGACAUAACUAACCGGACUAAAUUAACAUAGGUCAAGGGUGUUUACAUGAUAAAGGAAGAAGUCCGUUAAAAAUGAACUUCAAAUUCUCAUCAUUCUUAGAUUUCCGAUGACCAGAAAAAAGUUUUCAAUAAACACAAGACCAGUUGUCAGCACAAAGCACACGCAUAUACAGUAUAGAAGAAAUCAAAUUCGAAGUUACACGCCAACAACUUGAAGUUUCAUGAUGGCCAACUGGCCACACUGGUGGAGCAUGCAACAGUAUGUGUUAACUCCGCUAGUGUAACAUAGGCAACAGACAACAAAACACCACCAAAACUUUUUUAUCUUCAGUACUUCAGAAGGGAUUGAAAACACAACCUUCCGGUUUAUCAAUAUGAUGUUUGACAAUCAUCAAGACCAACCAACAACAUAAAAGCAGAGGUAGUUGCUGUUUCCAUUUUUCUCCUAAUAUAGCACCAGAUGACGAUGACACUAGAAAUGGUGUCAGGGCACACAAAAUGAGAUAGUAGGACGCAACAGACAGUAUUAACAGCAGGCACAUAUGUUUUAGAAAAUUCAAAAAAUACACAAACAAAAGAAGUAUAGGUUGACCGAAAAAUGGUGAUCUGAACUGCAGCAGCUUUCACUACGCCUCCAGGCAGGCACAAGUUCAAUUCUGCUCGUACCCAUCACAACUAAAAGGGAAACACCAUAAUAAAAGUAUCAUAACUUCCCAAUGUUCGUGUGAAGCAACACAUGCAACCGUAAAUUAAGUACACACAGAGCCACAGAUACAAAAUUUACCAAGACAGAGCCACACUCAGGCAGCUGCGCACACAUGCAUAGGCGACAAACCAACAAAGCAAGGGCAGGCAGCUGCACACACAUGCAUAGGCGACAAAUCAACAAAGCAAGGGCUCCAAGAAUUACCGAUGGCCUGGAACUCAGCUGCUUUUCAUGGUAGUAUCAGCACACCAGCCCAACACCAAUGUCUGGAACAUGGAAAUCAGCACAGUUAAUAAGUUUUAUUGACACUACAAGAUGCAAAUGCAUUAUUUUACAGUCUUACCUUGUAAGUUUAGUGGUGACUCUUUCUUACUGCAUAGCAGCAGCAUUGGAUCCAUCGUUGGGUACUCUGCUUCAGAUUCUGCAACUCUUUCGUCUACAAGUUUAUCGAAUAAUUCUCUGUUUUCUGAAUAUAGCUCCAGUUGUGCGGUGCUCAUCUAUAUUUAAGAAAAGUAUUAGCUAACAAUUCAACAUAAAGGUUGUUUAUUUCAUAGAUUUUAGUCAACCUUUUUCACUGUCCGCUAAUCGCGGGUGCUUUUAGAGUAAUAAAUAAAUAAAUAGAAAGAGACAAAUUUAAUGUGGUAAUGACUGUGCGCAACUCUUAAACAUCAAAGAGAAUAGAAGGGAGGGAGUACCUUACUGUCCUUAACACAUCCUUUAGUCAUUUUACAGUACACACCCUCAUCAUGGACUUGGUUUGCAUCUGCAGUCGCCUGUCGCAAAGCACUCACUGUUAGUGUUAACUUAACCACUUCCUCUUGAUGUCCUUCCUUUUUCUUCAAAUUCAGAUGCAUUGUACACAAGUCUAUGUGUCCGUCUGUGUAGAUGGGAAACUCUCCUUCGAUGACCUGGACAUUUGAGGACAAUGAAGUUGCUCGCAGUAGCACUUGAGCAACACGGGGAAUAUCUGUUGCAUAAUUUAAGGCAAGGUUCACCCCUCCCACAACAACCACACCUAUAGAAGCUUGAAGCACAUCUGGUAGGGUUCGUGUUUGGCCAUCUUGUACAUGCAGAACAUUAUCCAGAUAUUCAUCACUUUUUAUGAAUAUGAUAUGAUUGAGCACAUCCUUGGGAUCAUUUGUCCAGCAUGGAACUUUAUAGAACUCUUCAUUUUUUACCUUUUUCUGUUCAUUUACAUCCCAAACCUUGGUUGAAAUGUGAAGAUAUCUCAGGAUUAGCUUUGAUAUCUUUGCCCAGCUACGGAUGUAUCCAUUUCCCAGAUCUGUCAACUCUUGCUUCCUUGCACCCAGCUUUGGAUCGAGCGAUUUCAGAACAAUUAAGCAGAUGAAGUUGUUCUUUAUGCUCUCAGCAGUGUGUAUUAUCAGUGCCGCCAUUGCACGCAGAGACUGGACAGAAGACUUGGUUGGAUCAAAAUGAGAUAGCUGAUCAAGCAUAUCUUUUAGAGCAGGAUAGCCCACUUCGAAGUUUUCAAGUGGAGGGCCUUCACGUAGUAGUGUGGGAUACCCUCCUCCAUGGGAAAGUAAAAUUGACCCUUUGAUAUACUUCUUUGUUUCAUGUCCCUGCUUCUUCUCCUUGAACUCAUACACCUGUCCAUCUGUAGUUUCGAAUCCUCUCACCCACAUAUGCCUUCCUUCAAUGAUCGCCCUGACAGUCCUUUCACCAUCAGUAAAUGCAACCGUGAAAACAGCUAACUCAUCUGGGGUGAGAUGAAACUUCCUCUUGCCCUUCACGAGGGUCUUAAACUUCCUUUUGAGACGUUUCCGUAGGCGCUCCAUCUGGCUUGCGUAGGAGCGGUGCAUUUCUGAAAAGGAAUUUUCGCUGCUCAGCUUCAAGUUGAUAGUCAUCAAAGGAGGCCCGUCUGGCACAUCAUAAAUGCCAUCCGCUUGCUGAGCCAUUUGAAACAAGUAUUUCCAGGACCUUCACACUGAAGUAAGUGCACUGCCCUACUGCAAUAAACACAUGAAUCAUGCAAAAAGGCAUUAAAGUUUAAAGUUCAUCAAGGCAUCAGCAGAAACUUAUAAACGGCAUUCAUGUUUGCAUGUCAAAUGAGAAAGAUUAUCGGGUUAUCACACCUAUUGAACUGCAACAUAUACAUGUCAACAACUCAGAUUAUCAGGUUACAACAUUCAAGAAAAAGGACCUUGGUACUGCCUUGCACAAUUAGCAGAUUGAUCACAAAAUAAGCUACGAAGAGGAUCACCGAAACUACACUCUACACAUGUCUCCAACAACUAAACCAUUCGAGAAGUGGACAGCGUGCAACCUUUGCUGUACUAGCAGUAACAAAUCACAAAUAAGCUGUGGACAGAACUACAGAACUCAACUACUCACCAAUCGUCAUAGGGAACGAGUAUGAACAAAAUACACACAAAAUCAGGUUGCUUCAUAUCAUACAAAAAAAUAAACAGGACAGGCUUGCAAAAUUUGUGCAUUGGUGCUGCUAUGUGUGAACUCAUCACAUAUCAUUUCUGUAGUCACAGAUUAUGCACAAUCGAAAGGAAAACAAUUAGCACCAAAUCAGGAAGGCGCCCAUCAAGGGGCAAGUGGAUUAGCAAGAGAGAUUUGCGGUACCUCGAUCUGGGAGAGGCCUCAGUGGGACGCACGGCGGCGAGGCAAGGGGGGGCGCAGGGAGAGCCAGCGAUGAGCGAGUUCGGCAGGGGCGCUUGAUCUCGCAGUAGGGGCAGUUCAGACGAGGGGCGAGGGCUCCGUCUCGGCCAACCCUUGCCGCAAUGCCGGCGCCGCCCUGACCUGCAAACCCUAGCGGCCGUGAGUGGUGGGGAAACAAUAGGACAAUCAAAAACCUCAAACGGGUUGGAUGUGGAUCCGAGAUGCGGAACCUACCGGGAGUCGCGGGAAGGAGGCAGCGCCGGGAGGUGCGGCCGUGCCGGCGUCCGGCGGCGCGCGGCGGCUCCUCGCCCUGACCCAGCUACUACGUCCCCUGCAGCCGCGAUGGAGACGAGGCGUUCCCGUGUCUCAUCUCAUCUGGCCACCUAUGCCUCGCUCUUUAGCGAGCGAGUGCUAAGGCCGCGUCGCGCGCAGCGUGCCCCACCUGGGCCGGCCCAAGAUAGCCAGCGAUUCUGCAACCCAUUUUCCUUCCAUUCCUAAUUCUUAGUGCUAUAAAUUCCCAAAUAUUUCAAAAUCCCCGGAGCGAGACCCGAAACAAUUCUUCCGCCGCCGCAAGCCUCUGUUCUUCCUCGAUCCCAUCUGGAGACCUUUUUUGAUACUCUGCCGGAGGGGGAAUUGAUCACAGAGACCUUCUUCAUCAACCUUGUUGCCUUCAUGAUGAUGUGUGUGAGUAGUUCCUCACAGGACCUAAGAGUCCAUAGCGGUAGCUAGAUGGCUCUUUCUCUCUCUCUCUGAUCUUCAAUACAAUGUUCUCUUUGGAGAUCGAUUCGAUGUAAUCUUUUGUGGUGCGUUUUGUUGGGAUCCGAUGAAUUGUGGGUUUAUGAUCAGAUUGUUCAUUGAAAGUAAUUGAGUUAUUUAUAAAAUUUGUUAUAGCUUUGUAUUUCUCUCUGAUCUGUCUAUUUAGUUUCAUCAACUAGAUUAAUUUAUCUUUAGCGAGAGAGGUGCUUUGUGGUAGGUUCAAUCUUGCGGUGUCAUCACUUUGUGACAGGAGGAGUAGCGAGACACGUAUUUGUAUUAUUGUUGCUACUAAGGGUAAACCGACGGGGUUUGAUCGUAUUGAUUGGUUUUAUCUUGUCAACAUUAUGUUAUCAUGCUUCACGCAUUACUCUGUUUGUUAUGAACUUAAUACGUAGAGAGGCAAAUAUAAAAGCGCUCUCGAAGUGGAGUAAUAGUAGUAAAUGUAGAAUCGAUUCGGUCUAUUUGUCACGGACGUAAUGCCCUAUGUACUGAUCAUGCCAUUAAUAACACCAUAACUAUGCACUUUUCUAUCAAUUGUCCAGCAGUAAUUUGUGUACCCACCAUUGCUAUGUUCUUGAGAGAUGCCUCUAGUGAAAGCUAUGGUCCCGGAGUUAGAUGAGUGAUAUUUUUACACUCGUUCACCCUUUAUUUAAACCGACAUCUUUCAUUAAAACCGAGGUAUUUUCUCCGGUAUUGUUACUAAUGACUAAUGAAUGCAAAGGAUUCCACAAAUCUUGUUUUUGAUGUGUUUCCAUAGGAAAUGGGCUAAAAGGGAAGAAAUCACAUGUGAACAUGAAAAUGAGUGGAAAUGGAGAUUGAAGAAAUCAUUAGGAGGCGCACCAGUGAAGCACAGCACAAAAUACGACGUUCCAUACGACCGCGAGCGCUCGCACGAGUGGGGUCUGUAGGAACGAAGUAUGUCUACCGGGGGGUGAAUGGGAGUUUUAAAUUUUCUUCAGAAAACUCAAAACUCUCCGAACCCAGCAACAGAAACAAAAGAAAACCAAACUAUAGCGAGCUAAAACUAAGUACCUAAUCGAAACUAAACAUGCAUCGAAACAAAUUACAUGAUGGAAAACGUAUCGAAUGGAAACAUGAGUAAUAGAGAUAACCAGUGGUGCUUGAUGGCGACACGGAAUUUGUUCGACCAGUUUGUCCUUCUACACAGUACUACGUCUGGUUGGAGGGGUUGUGACUUAACACGGAAGAUAAACUCUCUUCACCCUAUUCUCCUCGACAAUCGAUUCGUCAACCGAUGCCGAUUACUCGUGGUAGAUACUUGAAGGCGAUAUCCGAACCUUUACAGACUUCUUCUUCAAGAACCACAAUCAUUCCUGGUCUCUGAAGAAAUUGACACCUAACCGUCUAGAGAGUUUGCAGCUCUCAAGAGUAAUAGGCGGAGCGUACUAGACUUAGAUUCGAGUAAUGCUGAACCACUAUCUAAUUCUUUGGCUCUAGGGGUUUUCUCUCGAUGGAUUUUAAACUCAAAUCGCUCGGAGAGUGGGUUGCUCAACAAUCUUCUCAGUAUCAAACGGAGCAGCCACUGGACAAAGCCAGCGCGGGGUGGCUAUUUAUAGCCGCAGCCUUCCCAGAUGGGAAAUGACCAUUUUGGACAUGCGGUCCAGCCAAUGGCCAACUGACACGUUCACAACGGUCGGAUUUUGGAGCAACGAUAACAUCACUUGAGGAACAAGUAAUGCUAACUCCUCAGUCUGAGACCUCUCGCAGCGAAGAAGAUCACAGUCUCUUGCUGGCAAGUAUUUGCUCGGAACACAAAGAAAUUUCUCUUACAACUUUCAUAGGAUUUGGGUUUAGCAUCAGAGAAUCAAAGUUUCGAACGCUACACCCCUCUUAAUAGUACGGUGGUCCUAUGACUCGACAGAAAGAAGAAGAACGAAACAAAUGCUACAUCUUCACUUCGUCUUCAUUCUCCUCGGACGCAGUCAUUUUCUUCAGACAAACUCCGAACCAAUUGCUUCACUUAAAUAAUUUUUAGGGGUCACUCUUGUUAACAUCAUCUUAGGUGAUAACCUUUGCUGCAACGCAGGGAGAUUCUCUUCGUCGUUUGCAUCAAACUCCUCGAUAUCUCAGAACCUGUUACUCUGUGUGCACUAGAAAACAUAUAAGUCUCAUACUGUUUAUGUCAACAAACUCCAAAACAUAAGGGGGCUAUCAUUGCACCAACGAUCUCCUCCUUUUUGGACUAUUGUUCACAAAACAGAUAAUCAUCAAAGUGAACAUAGAUAAGUGAAAUGUAAAUCAAACAAGAGUGAAUUUGUGUUACUUGGCUCGAUGAUGAAAUAUACUCCCCCUAGAUGUAUGAAGGUUAAUAGAUAUGAGAUAAAAAAAUCUUGCAAUUCAUUGAAUAAUAAUAAAGAGGAGAUUUCAAUCAUUCGAGGUAAUGAUUUGCAUUGAUGAUUCCACCUCUCGUGUUCUUUAUUUGGCACGAUCUUGAUGUACCAUGAGCUUUCUUAAUAAAGUUGGAUCAUAUGGUGUUUCUCCCUCUUUGUCUGGUUGUGAUGAAUUUGGUUUUUACCUUUGAGGUUUCACUAUUAUCGGAUUGAAUACUCUUAUGGAUUUGACAAUACUUGAUGUAUGUCUUGCAUGUGGAUACCCGUGGUGUUAAUGAGGUGUUCUAUUGAUUCACUUGAUAUAUGUUUUGGCAAUCAACUUGCGGAUUCCCGUGAUGACAUUGGGGUAAUCUAGGCAUAGAGGUUGAUGCACGUUUUCGUCCUACUUUCUCUGGUAGAAAUCUUGGGGCUCUCUUCAAAGUUCUUUGUGUUGAAUUGAAUAUUAUGAAUCUGAAGUUGUUUGAUGCAUAUCGAAUAAUCAACUCACGGAUACUUGUGGUGACAUUGGAGUACCUAGGUGACAUUAGAGUUGGUUGAUGUGUAUCAUAUGGUGUUAUUUUACAACAAACUCUAGGGGCUAUUUGUGACACUUAUAGGAAUAGCUCAAUAGAUUGAUCGGAAAGGAUAACUUUGAGGUGGCUUCGUACCCUACAAACCAUUUCCUCUUAUGUGCUCUGCUUGAUAAGAAUUUUGGAGUGAUUCUUUAUCGCGCGUUGAGGGAUUGUUAUAUGGUUCAAUUAUGUUAGCACCGUUGAGAGAUUGCAUUAGUGAAAGUAUUUGAACCCUAGGCCUUAUUUCUAAGCAUUGUAAUACUGAUCAUGCUCCGUUUUGUCACUUGCUACCUUGCUGUUUUUAUAUUUUCAUAUUACAAAAACCUAUAUCUACUAUCCAUACUAAACUUCUAUCACCAUCUCUUCGCCGAACUAGUGCAACUAUACAAUUUGCCAUUGUAUUAGGUGUGUUUGGGACACAAGAGAUUUCUUGUAUUUGAUUGCAAGUUAUGAGAGAGACCAUCUUCAUCCUACACCUCCAACGGAUUGAUAAACCUUAGGUCAUCCACUUGAGGCAAUUUAGUGUUGUCCUACAAAACUCUGCACUUGGAGCACUAGUAGAAAACAGGGCAUUGGUUCGGCCCUCGUAAUACCAUUAAUCCCGGUUCGCUCACGAACCGGGACCAAAGGAGGCAACUGUCCCAGUUCGUGAGCCCAGGGGGCCGGCCGGGCCACGUGGGCCAUUGGUCCCGGUUCGUCUGGACCUUUUGGUCCCGGUUCCACGCACGAACCGGGACCAAUGCGCCUCGCCCCUGGCCUAUGACCAUUAGUCCCGGUUUGUGCCACAAACCGGGACUAAAGGGUUGGUCCUCGUUCGGUCAGAGUUUAGUCCCACCUCGCCAACCGAAGGGCGCUCACACCGGUUUAUAAGCCCGUCCCUCUCUGCCUUGUUGAGCUCCUCUCAAAAUGAAAAUAGAUGCCCUUAUACAAGGAAUUUGACCUAAAUUCAGAGUGAAUUUCUCUGAAAUUCAUAGAAAUUUAUUAUGAAUUUAGGUUGAAUUCUCUCUAUAGGCGCAUCUAUGCUCAUUUUUUUAUGUUGGGGUUGGCGAUCUUUACAGACUUUUUGUGUGUUGAAUAUGCACCAUUCAAAAUCAGUCUCUGCUUUGAAUGGUUCAUUUUGAACACACAAAAAGUCUGGAGUUCAAAUAAGUUCAAGAAAAUGAAAUCCCUUUGUAACAGAUGAGUUUUCGUCCGAAACCCUGAUACUUCGAAAGAGAUUGUCCAUUUUGUUCACGAAGUGCAUCCAGCUUUUGACGUAACCCUCUCAACUUUUUAGCACAUGCUAUGUGGGUGAAAUGAUGAUACCAUGCCAACUUUCAACCUUUUCAGAGCUCAUUUGUAGGGCUUUUCAAUUUCAGGGUCAUUUAGCUCAAAACAAUCCGUCACUGCAUGAAAAAUAACAAAUGAAGUCAGAAAGGAUUGAAAAUUGAUGAUGUGGCUUUGAAUGGUGCAUUUUGAACACACAAAAAGUCUGGAGUUCAAAUAAGUUCAAGAAAAUGAAAUCCCUUUGUAACAGAUGAGUUUUCGUCCAAAACCCUGAUACUUCGAAAGAGAUUGUCCAUUUUGUUCACGAAGUGCAUCCAGCUUUUGACGUAACCCUCUCAACUUUUUAGCACAUGCUAUGUGGGUGAAAUGAUGAUACCAUGCCAACUUUCAACCUUUUUAGAGCUCAUUUGUAGGGCUUUUCAAUUUCAGGGUCAUUUAGCUCAAAACAAUUCGUAAAUGAAGUCAGAAAGGGUUGAAAAUUGAUGAUGUGGCUUUGAAUGGUGCAUUUUGAACACACAAAAAGUCUGGAGUUCAAAUAAGUUCAAGAAAAUGAAAUCCCUUUGUAACAGAUGAGUUUUCGUCCCUUCAAAGUCAAGGCUGACCCAAGCAUCCUGAUAAACGAUGAAGAUUAUCCAUUGUUACGGCGCAAUAAGCAAAUGACACAAGCGAAGAAAAAGUGAAGACUUUCUCCCGCAACUAUUAUGAUGAUACCAUGCCAACUUUCUAACAGACGAGUAUGAUACCAUUGUCCGUUUUGUACAUGAAGUGCAUCCAGUUUUUGACGUAACCCUCUCAACUUUCUUGCACAUGCUAUGUGGAUGAAAUGAUGAUAUCAUGCCAACUUUCAACCUUUUCAGAGUUCAUUUGAAAUGCUUUUCAAUUUUAGGGUCUUAUAGCUCAAAAUAAUCAGUAAAUGCAUGAAAAAUGGUGCAUGAAAAAUAACAAAUAAAAUAAAUAAGUAAUUAAAACAAAAUAAUAUAAACUUCAAUAAAAUAUAUAAGUAGAAACAAAAUAAAAUAAACUUUAAUAAAAUUUAUGAAACUAAAAUUAACAAAGUAUUUUCUGUUCAAAACAUUAUAAGAAACCUCUAGUAUUAUUGAAACUAAAAUUAUAUAAAAUUGAUGCAACUAAAAUUAUCGAAGUAUUUUCUGUUCAAAAUCAUUAAAAGCAAAAAGAACUUUCAUAAAGAACUUUUUUUGUUAGAAAUUUUAAUAGCAAAAAGAAUUAUCAUAAAGUAAAAUAAAUAAGUAAUGAGAAACAAAAUAAAAUAAAAUCAAUAAGUUUUUUGUUGUAAGUAGAAACAAAACAAAAUAAAUAAAGCAAAAAAGAAAACAAAAAACAGGCAAAAAAAAUAUGCCACCUACUGGGCUACCACGGCCUGAAUACGACUAGAAACCCAUCGAUGGGCCAGGAUUCAGGCCCGCAGAAGGCCUAGUAGGCCCAUCAGGCAUAGCAGUGACAAUUAGGCCCGUAAGCCUGCAAUGGAGAGGAGCUCGAGAGGGGUGCGACGGUGGGUCUUAUAAACCACUGCGCGCCCCUCUCAACUAGCUAGGUGGGACUAUACUUUCGACGCGGGCGCAGCAACACAAGGCCUUUGGUCCCGGUUGGUGGCACCAACCGAGACUAAAGGGGUGCAUUGGUACCGGUUCGUGGCAGGCCUUUGGUCCCGGUUGGUGGCACCAACCGGGACUAAAGGUUGCAUUCGUCCCGGUUGCUGUCACGAACCGGGACCAAUGCUUCGUCUAUAUAACUAGCACUUGUGAAAAUUUUCAUUCAGUUCGUCUUCCCCGCCCCGACGACGCCGCCAGGCUGCCCCUCUGCGCCUCGCUGUCGUCGUCGUCGCCCCUGCCUCCGACGCCGUCCCGCGCCGCCCAGACGCCGUUGCCGCCCCGCGCCCCCUGCCUCCUCGUCGCUCGUUGCCGCGCCCCUCACCGCCGCCCCCUGCCUCCUCGUNNNNNNNNNNNNNNNNNNNNNNNNNNNNNNNNNNNNNNNNNNNNNNNNNNNNNNNNNNNNNNNNNNNNNNNNNNNNNNNNNNNNNNNNNNNNNNNNNNNNNNNNNNNNNNNNNNNNNNNNNNNNNNNNNNNNNNNNNNNNNNNNNNNNNNNNNNNNNNNNNNNNNNNNNNNNNNNNNNNNNNNNNNNNNNNNNNNNNNNNNNNNNNNNNNNNNNNNNNNNNNNNNNNNNNNNNNNNNNNNNNNNNNNNNNNNNNNNNNNNNNNNNNNNNNNNNNNNNNNNNNNNNNNNNNNNNNNNNNNNNNNNNNNNNNNNNNNNNNNNNNNNNNNNNNNNNNNNNNNNNNNNNNNNNNNNNNNNNNNNNNNNNNNNNNNNNNNNNNNNGGCCGCGCCCCUCACCGUCGCCCCCGUGCCUUACCUCCUCGUCGAUCGCCGCCCCCUUAGUGAGCUCAUAUGAACUUUCCUAAUUUAGAUGUGUAGUUUAGAUGUGUAGUUAAUUGAGUUGUUGUAAUUUGUUCAUAAAUGAAUAUGCAAAAGUUAGAAUUUUUUCUGUUCAUAGAUUUUUUUGUGAUAUUAUUGUUGAAUAUGCAAAUGUUUGUGUGUUCAUAUAUAUGCAAAGAAUAUGUCAAUUUUUUCAUAGAAUUUUUAUAAUUUUUUUCUGUUGUAAUUUUGUUCAUAGAAUUUUUAUCUUGUUCAUAGAAUUUUUAUGAUUUUUUUCUGUUGUAAUUUUGUUCAUAGAAUAAGAAGAGAAAGUGUUUAAUAGAAUUAGUUAGAAAAAUAAUAGAACUAGAUAAACUAGUUUAUUUUUAGUAAGUACUACUUUAUUGUAUUUAUAGUAAGUUCUUAGUAGUUGAACUAGUUGAUUUAAUAAAACUAGUUUAUUUUACUAUAGAAGUAGUUUAUUUUUAGCAAGAAAAUUAAUAGAACUAGUUUAUUUUUUAGUUAAAGCAAUUAUUCCCGCAUCGACGUCGACGAUGCCAAUCCCGCAUCCUCGUCGUCGACUCGGCGGAGGAGGCUGGCUUGAUCAGAGGGGCCAUGUCCGGGACCGGGCUCCGCCGGGCUGGUUUUGGGAGGUGCUACCUUCCGGGGGCGUAGGUUGGUGAGGAGCCAGCCCGUAAUUGACCCGAUCCUUGUUUGGUGGCGGUCGCGUGGGCCAGUGAUGGUGCUGAGGCUUUCGGACAUCGCGGAGGUGGUACGUCACCGUGUCAGCGAGGAGGACGAGCACGUCCGUCGCUACAUGGUUGCGUUGGAGUGCAGGUUCGACAAUACCUGGCAGGUUCUUCAGGGAUCUCACUGGAGCUAUGAUCCUGUGAUGGUUCCUUCUCUUUGGGUAUCCACCGCCCGCGCCGAUACCCGUCGGGCGCUACGGUUCUAGCUGUACUAGCGAUGCUAUAUGUAUGAUAGUAUUCGAGGUAUAUUAGUGAUAAUAUUCGACGAUGUGCGGACGCAUGGAGAUGAUGUAGUUUUGCUUAUAAUUGAAUGUAUCCUAAUUUGAAUACUACUUUAUUUUGUGAUUUGAUUUUGCUUAUUGAAUGCUCAAAUUGGAAAACUACUCCUACUUUGAAUGCUAAAAUUGGAGAGCACUAUGCAAGGCGUAUGCAUAUGAUUAGUUGAUAGCUUAUAGGGUUUUUGUUUUCGCAGAAAUCUAGGAGCCCCCCUCCAUCAUCCCCGCCGUCGUCCCCGUCACUGACCCCCUCCGACCUCGGGGUGAGACCAGCCACGAACCGGUUUUAGAAAGAUAAUUAAACGAUAUUUUGGGUUGACUUUAAGUCUAUUGAGUCUCCACCAUAUAUGAGAGGACGAAGAAUCCCGACUGUUGUCGUGGGGGUAGCUUCUCCUUCGUUCCCGUGUGCUAGACAAUUUGGUGUAAUGCACUCGGGAACGAAAGGAGGAGCUACCAUCACCGACGGUCGCAAAUGUCUGAGAGGAAUCAGUAAGGGAGAGUUCCACCAUAUAUAUAUGAGAGGACGAAGAAUCCCGACUGUUGUCGUGGGGUCGCUUCUCCUUCAUUCCCGUGUGCUAGACAUUUUGGUGUAAUGCACUCGGGGAUGAAAGGAGGAGCGACCAUCACCAACGGUCGAAUGUAUACACCAUGUGAGCUGGGAGUUUUCAAGAAAAGACUCGACAGAUCGAUUGUCAACCCGUGAUGAAUAAUAAUGAUCUAACUUAGGUUUUUUAGUACAUAUAUUUAAUUGUAGACGUUUAAUAUUUGAAUUAUGAACAUAGGAAAUAUCGUACUCGGACGACGAAAGUCUCCCGGGGGAGUGCGACUGGUGCCACGACGAUCGAGGUCUGUGCGACAGGCCUCACCUGGACGAAGAUCGGCGCUUCAGUAUUAAGCUGGAGGAGACCUUCGAUGUUGAAACGGUACGCAACGACGACAAGUGUUAUUUUUUCGUAAUUAAGCACGACUUCAACUAUUUCAACGUGUACUUUUCAUCUUUUACAAUUCGACUAGCUUAUCCCAUGCCAUGCAAGAUGCUACAUCUUGGAGAGGAUGGAUUUUGAAGACCAUGAAAGUAUGGAAACAAAGAAAAUUCACCUAAGGACCCAUCAUGAUAUAGAUUUUGAAGUAAAUCUGUAUAAUUCUGAGAGCGUAACCCAUUUUGGUUGCAAAAAUUGGGAAGCAUUUUGCAAGAUGUAUGGUUUUGAUGAGGGUAUGCUUGUCACCAUGGAUCUUGGUGAUCCUGACAUCGAGCAAGACAAUAUGGACAUUUGGGUCCUUGUUGAUACGCCUCCAAUUCUAUCGCUAUGUGAGUUUCUCAAACAUAGUUAUUAGAUAGUUUAUAUUGUUCAUUUCAAAAUAGUUGAGAACUUAUUUUCAUUGACAGCUUAUUUUGAUUGUUCAAACAAUGUGCGGAACAUGGUAGACAGAACCUACUACAUCGAUGUCUCUGAGUUAACUUAUAAGGAGAAAACUCAUCUGGUCGGAUUUUGUACUGAUCUUGAGAAUUACAAUAUCUAUUGUAAAACUCCUCCACAUUAUGGUCAAUACGUGCCACUAGUGCACGUGUUGAACUACGGUAACUACUAUGGAGAUACCCUGGUAAGAUUUCUUACUAUUACGACAUCCGUGCAUCUUUUGCAUACUUCUAAAACUAGUACAUCAUUGCUAACUAUGAAGUUAUUAUUAUGUUUUUCAACAGAUAAUCCCAGAGGAUUGUGUGCCUCAUCUGAUGUAUCAGAGUGGUCGCCUUGAUGUUUUGAACAUACGUCCAGGUCAUCCUACGAAUUUGAACUGUCCAUACCGGAUUUCUAAAAGAAGUGGAGACAUGAAAAUCAAGGAAUGGAAAAAAUGUAUGGACAGUCGUAAGGAGGUUCUUGGAAGCAAAAGAAAGCGAAGCGCAAGAACUGGAGACAGGAUGAUCUCCAUUCUUCAUAAUGGAGAGUCAGGGUCUAUAUUGUUUUAUGCUAUUUUACCUUAAAGAGGGUAUUUAUGUCCUACCUAAUACUGAUGAUCAUGUGCCUAGAACAAUUAAGUAGGGUUGGUUCGAUGACUAUGAGGAUGAUGAUCGUAUGACUUGUUAUUAAUAACGAGUAGAAGUUGUAUGAUGAUGAUUAGUAGGACUUGUUAUUAUGAUGAUGCAUGAUGCGGGAAUGAAGAGUUAUUUUAUAUCAGUGGGUGAAAUGAACAUGGAUUGGAAUAAAGUGAAGGCAACAAGCAUGUGGUGCAUGUCGAAAGUAGUACUAAUCCAAACUUGAUCAAGUUAGGAUUAAUAUUACUUUCGACAUGCACCACAUGUUGCCUUCACUUUAAUCUAAGCCAUGUUUAGGCAUAGCAGUAGCGUUGGUAAAUCAAACACGGAAAUAAGAGAGGGCAGUUCUCUCUGUUAGCUAGCUUACACACCCUAAAUUACCCCCUAAACCCUCCCCCUUUAAAAAAAACAAAAACCCCAGCCACUGAAAUGCUGACGCGUGGAUGCCUUUUGGUCCCGGUUGGUGUCACCAACCGGGACCAAAGGCCCUCCUGCCUGGGCUGGCCGCAGCGGCCACGUGGAGGCCCAUCUGUCCCGGUUCGUGUAAGAACCGGGACUAAUGGGCUAGGGCAUUAGUAACGACCCUUUAGUCCCGGUUCAACAACCGGGACAAAAGGCCCUUACCAACCGGGGCAGAUGACCCUUUUUCUACUAGUGGAGGCCUAACAUGAGUCUACAAGAAUACAGUGUAAUAGACAUCAACUUGUUGGGGAGGUUACGAGCACAACGCGGUGCUCGGAUACGAGCGACAGGAGCUGUGUGCGCGGCGGCGGGCUUUCGGCCAGAGCAAAACAAAGGUGACAACAGCGCUGCGACUACGGAUCGAGAGCGUCGAGAGAGGGGAAAAGGCUGGGAGCUCACCUAGGGGGCACACGGUGGCCCGUUGGUGGCUUAGUAGCACAGAUGGUGGCCGGAUUCGACAAAGAACGUUGGUGACCGAAGGUUCAAGAGGAUCUCGAUCCGCUCGAUGCAGGCAUUCCCGGCUCGAGCUGAUCAUCGUAGACGAAGUAGAAGAGGCAGGCGAAGCUCCUGGCGGGAUCUUAGUUGAUGGGGACGCCGGUGGCCAUGUGAACGGAGGAGGCCAUGGUGAUGGUGGCAUUGGGAAGAAUCGAGCGGUGCGAGGGAGAGGGGAAAUUGAGCUAGGGUUUGUGCCGGGGGUCGGCCUUAUGCUCCAAGAGAGCCGGGGGAUGGCCGGCACGCGACAUGGCCCGAAACGAAUCUGCAUCUUCUGACCCGAAAAAUCAGGAGACACACUCCCGCUAACACUAUUUUAUGUAUUCUCUUUGUUUCUGAAUUUCUGUUGCACAAAUUGAUCACAUGGAUAGUUAAUAAACUUGAGCAUUAGCCACUGUACUUCCUAUAUGUCGAUAAACGGUACAUUGCUUUUCACUUUGCAGCCAGAGGUUUAGACUUCACAUGGAUUAAUGCAGUUAUUUUUGGAGAUAAUUGCUAAUUCAAACUUCAAGGUACUACCUUUUUCUUUUCUUAUCUUGAUAAAUGAUAAGCUUAGAACUUUAGUUAUAUAGGUAUAUCAAAAUUUAGGACCCUAUUUUGCAUUUCAUGCUGGCCUCACGCCACCGGCCGCCAUGGCUCGCACCAUGGCUGCUGCGUUUUUUCUUGGUAGUGCCACCUUGGCUCUGCCUUGGCCUGCGAGCAUGGCUUGGAUGUGGCCUCGUUGCAGCUACGAGUAAGGGUGUCGUCGAAACAGAGCUCCACAUCCAUCCCCGAAGCACACCCUACCCUGACGCACGUGCCGACGACCGCAAAGCUAUGCGUAUCCACGCCUGUGGUGGUGGCAAUGGUGAGAGACGCUUCCUCCGGGGGGGAGGGGGGUAAAGACUGGUGAUGGUGGAUGGAAGGGGAAACGGUCGACUGUGGAGGGGCGGUGAUGACGAUCUCUCCAAAGGGCUUAACGAGGGGUAGCAGAGGUCAUGCCAGUGGCAGUGGGCCGGCGUGCCAGACGGUGAAAAAAAACUAGGCGGCAAAAACUAGAGAAAAUGAAAAACCUCGAACUAGCACAUCCAAUCAGCACUAAAACUGGGGAAAAUACUAAAUGGCCUAAAACGUGGCACAUGUUUGCUUAAAUGGGGUAUAAAUGAAGUAAUAUCUGUCACAAAUGUGAAACUUGCGGGUAAAGAGUGGAAUUAACUCUAAACUAAUCAAUGUCAAGUAAGAAAACACUUCUAUAUAUAAAAGUAUAUUGUACAAACCUUGGGACAUAUAAAUCUUACUGACAUGGUUCACACAAGCUAGACCAUGUGGCCUUCACUGACAUUACAAGACCGUACAUAUUACUUGAAAUUUUCGUAGAGCUUCCACUCUUCUGUGGUUCAAACCACACAGUGUCAAAUAUAAUAUCCUCAAUGUCGUAGUCAAAAUAUCCGGGAAUUUUCGAAUCACCAACAACGCCAUCAGGAUAGCAAUUAUCAUCACCUGAGUGACGGUUGUGCGUGUAUAAGUCUAUAGUCAAAUUCUCGGUGUAAUCCACACAAACCGUGACCGGUGGCAGCCUGCAAACACUCAACUUGCCAUUGAAGACUGAAAAAGCACCCCCUUGCAUGGUACGGUAGACCGCAGUUAUUGUAAGUGAAUCAAACAAAUUGUCCCCAAGAUGAUGCACCUCAAACUCCAACAUAGCCAACACGGCCUUUGGGAUAGAAGCCAUUCUUAGAUCGACGCUGCCGUGGUGGCCAGUGUUAAUGUGCCAAUGGUGCCUUUCAUAUUCUGCAUAGAAAGAUGGAGCAUAGACCGAAUAUCCGUCUAUUAACACCUUAUCAUCUUCACCUUCUUCGUCUUUAAUUAGCAAACGAUAUUCAAUUAGCACAAGCCCAACCGCGUAGAUGCCUUGAAGUGGAUUAAGUAGAGGUUGAAGCUUACAAGAACCCUGUAUAUUGUAUAGUUAGACACAUAUCCUGCAGAUUUCUUCAGUAAAGAGAAAAUAAGAGAAGGUACAACAUAACUCACCGGCUUAAGCUUACAUGGUUUGUCUCUAGAGUAUUCAAAGACAUAGUUGCGUAGUUGGUUGUUUCUUACAUCUCGGAAUGCAAACAUGCCGUAGACCUCUAAGGCGGCAUCGUGAGGAGACGAUAAAUUCAAACUAAACACUUGGAUUGCCCGUCGACAAGGUUCAUUCUCCCUUUUGUCGACCCAACGGUUUUCCCAUCUUGGCAAUGGAGGCGCUGCAGGCAAUAUGAAAACAAAUCAUUAGAUAUCAAAAGUUGCACAGUAAAUACAUGGAUAACGUCAUAUAGAUUAGAACUUCGGAAUCUUACAAUAUAUAGAACCCGAGGAAGACUUCUCUCAAUUUUUCUCUUUACACAUGCUUAGGUAUUUUUUUAUGACUUAUGGAACUCCCUUCCCUUGGUCCACAAGCAAAUCAUUGGACAUGGCGUAGAAAUAGAGAAUAUGACUUGCUCGAGAUACAAAUGGCCAUGCGCAUGCAAAUAUUUUUUAACUUUAUUUAUAAAGGCAUACCGUCAAACUUUCUAAAAAAUUGCCACCGGUACAAACAUGUUUGAGAUUGUGAUUUUCUAGAAUCUGUGGGUUCAAAACUUAUAAAAUGUACUAGUCAUCAUAUGCUUAAAACUAAGUGGAUUCAUCAAAACAUAAAAACUAGUACACAAUUGCAAUUAAGCGUGGCCACUUACGCAAGCUUUGAGCAGAUAACAGUGUUGGAUCGAGCUGACACGGGCCCUCGACCUGAAGAGACCCCUCCCAGAUCCCCCUUGAUCUCUUGGCGCAGGGCAUGGUCGGCGGAAACCGCAUCUGAUUCUCCCACCUCUCCUCCAUGUCGGCGACGUAAUAAGGGUUCCCGUCCUCGUAGUAGAAAGUAUACCCGUAUCCCCAAGAACCACCAUAGUGGAGCUCCUCUUCUUCUUGGUCUGAUUCGUAGUACUCGUAAUCGCCUUCGUCGUCUCGCUCUUGCUGUUCCUGCAGGAUGGAGUCCAGCUCCCUGUCCCACAGCCAGGCGCAGAGCACCUCAUCCUCUAGCUUCUUUCUCAGGGCCGCCAUGUCCAGAUCCGGCUCCAUGGCCGCCGAGGCGCCGCGAGAUCGAUCCGCGAGACAGAUUUACAGGGGACAAAAGGGAGGAACUGACCUUCUCCUCCACCCUCCGUGAUCUCCUUCCUCCGCCGACACGGACGGAUCGAAAGGCGAUUUUCCGGCGGGCGCCGAGGCGAUCUCCCUCGAUGAACAGCCGCCGCCAGGUGCGGUGCGGGUGCUACUUCCUCGCGGACGCGACUUCGCUGCUGACUCUUUGCAAGAGCGGCUACUGGGCUUUCUACUUUUGAACCCGGGCAGGGGGCUAAUGGGCUUUCUACUAGUACUAUUAUUUUACGUGAUAGUUAGGCCGAAAUUGAAUAUAUAUUUUUACGGUCAUGUUUAUUUUUUUUCAACAUAACUAACUUUAUUCCUCAUAUAAUAGCCAUGUCAUUUAUAGUAAAAUCAUGUUUUUCCAAAAAAGAAAAUCAUGUGAUUCUAAGAAAAAAAAUCAUGUUUCUCAGUCAAUGUGCGGAUACUCUAAAAAAAGUCAAUAUGCGGCUAGUAGCUUCAUGGUGGCAGAGGAUUUGCAAGGGUUGGCAUGGUGGUGAGAGAUCAUGAGGGAUCGGUGCUCAUUUCUUCAUGGUCUGCACAAAUGUCGAGGAAAUAGAACCGCAAGCUUGUUUAGUGGGAUUGUAUAUUGCAGUUCCACCGCAUAAGCCCGUCAUUUUGGAGACUAACUGUUUGUUUACAAAAAUAUAUUUGUCUAAUAAUGUUUUGUAUAACUCAACCCUCGUGGAUUUAAAGAGGGAAGCCUUAGGUGUCCCUCAACUUAUUCCACAGUGUAACAUGGCAUGGAUUACUAGGGACAAGAACAAAGUGGUCCAUUAGAUUGCUAAAUUUCGUCUUGAUUCUAGAUUGGGUGGAUUAAUUUUAGCAGAGUGUACCAUCCUGCGAAACGGAUUCUAUAACGAAUGAUUGUAUUAAAGUUUAUUAAUUAAUAUGUGAAUGGGUUUAAAAAUGUUUAUCAAUUAAUAAAAGCAGUAAAGUGAAGCUUUUUAAAAUAUUUUUGUCACUAACUCAUUGAGGUAAUCUUGAUAAAACUUUCUAGAUGCCUCCAACUCCCAAUUUGAUCUGAACUCUAAUUUUAGCUAAUCCAACAAGUUUACACUGUCACAACACAUUUCUUGUGUACUAACUGUAAGCCUUCGUAGCAACAGGACAAAACUAAGUGAAACCACUUCACACUGUAGCAAACAAUAGAAUCACUGAAGAAAACAGUGAGGUGUCAGAAUUGAUCUCAAUCUACAAGAGGCCGGUCAAUGGCUGAAAUGAUUUUGAGCAAUCAUAGCCACUAUAAUAGCCUUAAGGGUGAGUAUCUGUCUUGUGAGUGGAGAGGGGGCGAGGGCGGGGCAAUGGGGCGCAUUUAAAAGGCAGUUCAGUGAAAGUGGGAUUUGAGGAGCAUGCCACCAACAAUAAGGGGCAGUGCAUGUUCUUGUCAGUUGGCCGAUAUAAAUGUAUUAAUCAGGGUACCAUGAGUUUAAAUUCUGAGAUUAUACAUUAUUACUAGUACUAUGGUAGAUUGGAAAGAUCAUUCAUACUGCAUACUAUUGGGGUUGAUGUCAAGACCAUGCUAGAGACAAGCAUUCUAGGCAAGACAACUCUAAUUAUCCUCACAAGCUGCGCACGCGGUGGCAUGCAGUGGGUUAUGUGGGAGCAAUGAAAAAAUAUUAGCAUUUCCACGGUUGGUUGUUAAAUCCAUCUCAACUGAAGCUCACAUGCUUCUAUGGAUGUCACUAUUAGAAUCGCCUUGAUUACUUUGUUACACUUGACAAAUAAAAAACACUCGGCAAAGGCCAACCUUUCCGGGUGUUUCUUACAAAGCACUCGGCAUUUUCUUUUGUUUUAUUUUCUUCAUUAUUUUGUUUUAUUUUCUAUUUUUCAUCUUAUAUUUUUUUCUUUUCUUCUCCGUUUCUAGACAAUUAAUGGAUAUAGUUCAAUUUGAAGUGCAAGUGCAUGAAAACGUUGGCAAAAAUUGGGUUGAAGUACUAAGGGCGUGUUCGGUAGCCCUCCACAGCUGCAAACUCCCCAACUCCGUCGCCGCUAGCCAGCAGUCGGCUUCUCGUGUAAACUCCUGGAGUGAUCGAUCCGUUCGGUGUGUUAGCUUCUGCCUGCGAGCUGUAUAAAUGGUUGGCCUUGGUUGGUGACUGGCUUUAUUGGGCUGUGGCCUGGAAAAAGGAAUAGUGGGCCGUCUAAAUGCCUAGGCCUGGUCGGUGGCACACCUCAUAUGGCUGUUCGGUCGUGGCUGUUUCUGCGUACCGGUUCGCAGCAAGUCACUUGGCGGUGGCAGCGAAGUGUAAUAUAUGUGAACUCUCGCUUCUCAGUUUCUGUGGAGCUUGAUUUUCUCAACUCCACGAAUCCUCUAAAUUUACAUUGCGUGGUUAGCCAGCUUCUCGCUCGCAUCGCCGGGAGUUAGACCGUUCGGGUGCACUCCACACAUGGAGUUGGGGAGUUAAGAAGCCAGAGGGCUACCAAACAGGCCCUAAAUUUGAAUCAAAAGAAGUAUUGAAAUUAAACGUUGAUGCACCAUUCUCCCAUCUACUAUAACUAAGCUCCCUAUGGGUAAAGGCCUCUAAUUCAACAGAUUUGGAUUCCCAAUUUUUAUUUAGUCAACAUUUUUUCAAUGAGCUCUCUUGUUGAAGUGUGGUGUUCAAUUUUAAAUCCGAUUCAUGAUUUCAACUGGUCAAUGAUUUCUCAACUCAAUCGGUAGCAACUAGUUUAUAAAAAUAUAUCAGUCUCUUCAUCAUCUGAAAAAAAUAAUGGCCACAUGCAACACUGUAACACCAAUAUGAUUCAGGACUGAGUUCUAAUUUUUGAGUCGGUUAACAAUUUUUCAAGGAGCUCUCUCAUUCAAGUGAGGGGGAGGUGUUCAAUUCUAAAUUUGGUUCACUGUUUCGACCGAUGAAUGAUUUCUCAAAUCAAUCCGUAACAACUAGCAUACAAAAAUACAUCAGUUUCACAGCCUCUCAUCACCUGACAAAAAAAUGCUAACAUACAACACUGUAGCACCAAUAUAAUACUUGUGGUCACCACCGCAAGAAACUUCCAUGCACACGUGUGGGUUAAUUUGCAUUCUUACAGAAAUACAUCGCUCUCUCACCCUUGUCAUCACCUGAUUAUUUUUACUUGGUCAACUGUUUUUUGAAGAAACUCUCUCAUUCAACUUAGGGUUCAAUUUUAACUUCGAUUCAUGAUUUUUUACUGCUCAAUGAUUUCUCAAAUCAAUCGGCAACAACUGUUUUAUAAAAAUAUAUCAGUCUCGUGCACGCUCUCAUCACCUGACAAAAAUUUAAUGCCAUCAUGCAACACUGGUGGGUCAAUAAUUUCUUAAGAAGCUCUCACAUUCAAUUGAGGUGUUCAAUUUUGAAUCCGGUUCACGAUUUUGACUGGUCAAUGAUUUAGAUGCUUAGGAGAACAGUGGUAUCCCUAGCCUACCAGAGUUCAAGUCCUAUGCUUGACACUAGUGCUCGCAUUUUUCUGAAUUUAUUCAGACCUUCCAGCAAUGUGCGUACAGUGGGAGGAGACAUUCCUGUCGACUACGCAUGCGUCUGUGGCGACUUCAUCAAUCUCAAGAUAAAGUGCUGGUUUCUAGAGGUGCUCAUGGGGUAGAGUGUGCAUGCGUUAUAGAGGGUGAGUGUACGUGCGUAUGUAUGAGCUUCUGCAUUUGUGUUAAAAAAAUUAAGAGGCGAGCAUUCGCCAACUACGACCAAAUUAUUUUUGUGAGGGAAACCCACUAUGAUCAAAUGAAGAGUGGUCGUUUUUGGUUCUUUCAUUUCUUUAUCACACUAGGUAAAAGUUUAGUAGUAUCUCCAAAUCUUCUGCUAAAAUACAAAAUAUUAAGAAAACAAUUUUCUUUACAACAUGCAUCCAUGUUAUAUAUAUACAACACCUCGAAAAUAUUUGCUACAAAUUUGAAUGUGAAUAGUUUCAAAUGCAUUGAGUUCUAUAUCAACUUCUUUCCGUUGCACGCACCCUAGAUUAUUACUCCCUCUGGUUCUUUUUUACUUUGGAUAUAAAAUUUGUCUGAAGUUAAACUCAUAUAGUUAUAUAUAAAUUAUCAACAUAUAAAAAACUGAAGUUAUCACCCGCGAAAAAAACUGAAGUUAUAUAAUUAAAAAAUUAAACUCAUGACGCACCUCAUAUAAUAUUGAUUUUUUAUAUCAACCCAAAUGUUGACACUCAACCCUAAUAAUAUUGUACAUACUAAUGAUCAAAUGCAAGUCAAGAACUGGAUUGAGUAAUUGACUUACAUUUGGUCAUUAGUAUGUACAAUAAUAAAUUUGUGAAAAAUACUUUCUAAAGACAAUUCUUCGUGUGGCACGUUGGCGGCUCCAGAAUAGAUCUAAUCAUUUUCUGAAAGAUAAAAUCUACGUGCAUGAUUCUUUAUACUGAAGUAUCAAAACGAAUUAUCCAUUAGUCGGUAUUAUACACGAUUUCAACAAGCCGAUCUGUAUAUUUUUGACAAGACGAAAAUAGACAACAGUGGAGCCAUUUUGAAAAUCACACGGCAUAACUUCUCCAGCUGCCGACAGCACAGCCUUCGCACGAAGUUGGUCAUACCGUGUUGCACGUGCCACAAUCUUCUCAACAUACUCCAUGGUAGGGACAGCUCACCAGCGACCACGAAACGAUAUUCAAAUUUUAUCAGUAGCAAGGAAAAUUCAAACUCCGUGGUAGCGACCACGAUGCUGCCGUCCGUGACUCGGUAGGUCGACCAGAAAAAAAAACCCCGUCCGAAAGCAUCACCAACGCGUCGACCUCGCCGUGAACAGACGGUUGCGUCCGCAUCGCCGCCGACGACAGAACACGUAGCACACACGGCAACCAUCAACAGCACGACCCAAACCAAAACAACGUAGAAAAACAGCAAUUAGUCGCACCACAAAUCAAGAUACAAUACCACGAUGGGAUCAAGGGCACGACAACAACAGAGUUGCAGCGAACAACAAUGGUUCUGAGGUCUUCAACAUAGACAUACGUUUGCUUCAUCGCAAACCAAAAGGAACAUCACAUAUCAAGUUGGUUCGUCUUACUCAUACCUAACAACCAUAUUUCUUCUACACAAAAGCUUAAGACCUAGAACAGCAAUUAGGAACAAACUACAACCGGAAUCAACUCAUCCCGAUCCACUACCGUCGUUCACGGAGAGGACAGCUUAGGCCCUCUCGCCACGGAUGCGGCGGGCGAGCUGGAUGUCCUUGGGCAUGAUGGUGACGCGCUUGGCGUGGAUGGCGCACAGGUUGGUGUCCUCGAACAGCCCGACGAG
rnacentral:lncRNA from 1 species